rnacentral:lncRNA from 1 species
AAAACAAGCAACGGAUGUGAGGUAGGAUAUCUAAAUACUGGAAAGAGAUGCUUGAUUCUGUAGGUUAUCCAUACUCUUUGAUGACAGAUGCCUACUUGAGUUUGGAUGUAGUUAUUUAUUUGAUGACAAAGAUCUAUCAUAUGUAACUUUGUGUUAAUUCCUUUUCAGCAGGGGAUUCUGGUUGAGGAUUAAAAAACAUAAAUUUGAAUAUUGUUUUUGUCUGAUUACUGAAAUAUGUCAAAUCUAGCUUUUUGAUCUGUGAAUAUGUUGAUUCUUUUCUAGCAAAUAAUGCUCAGGGAAGAUGUCUCCUCUUUAUUUGAAACUUUGUAGAUUGAGCAUAUUUUUCCAGACUGAUAUGUGAGCUAGGAUGUGGAAACACUUGCCAGGGGAUUUGUGAAGCUUUAGGUUUUGUUACCCUUACAUUUCUUGUGUCUUUAUUUGUGACUGACUAAACUUCUUGUUUGGAUUCUAAGUUUUGGUUGGAUUCAUUGCUAACCUUGUAGUUUGACUGGCAGUCUUGCAGUUCUUGUGGGUUUAGAGGUCGUGUAAUUUGGGGAGGAUUUGUCUGGCAGAAUUUCUAACCACUUAAUAUGAAGUACUGAAUUAAUAAUAGUGAAAAAAAGAUAAAGAAAAUAUAUCAUGGUCAUUAAAAGUUUAUGUUUCUUGUUCUGUUCAGCCAUGCCACUUGUCAGUGAACUCUUGCUUCUUUCUCUAUUGCUGCAUAUGCAUUUGUGACUGACUAAACUUCUUGUUUGGAUUCUAAGUUUUGGUUGGAUUCAUUGCUAACCUUGUAGUUUGACUGGCAGUCUUGCAGUUCUUGUGGGUUUAGAGGUCGUGUAAUUUGGGGAGGAUUUGUCUGGCAGAAUUUCUAACCACUUAAUAUGAAGUACUGAAUUAAUAAUAGUGAAAAAAAGAUAAAGAAAAUAUAUCAUGGUCAUUAAAAGUUUAUGUUUCUUGUUCUGUUCAGCCAUGCCACUUGUCAGUGAACUCUUGCUUCUUUCUCUAUUGCUGCAUAUGCAUUUUUUUCGCAAUUUUUACUCAUUUUUUUUAGGUUGUCCAUUUCUAAGUAAUUUAGGCUUCUCAUAGCUUUUACGAGUCCUGGAUUUAUAGUGAAAUUUGACCCUUUUACAUGGAGCAAUUGAAAUUAAGGAGAGAAUUAUUGAUCUUUAGUUUUAUAGUACUGAAUUAAUUUUGGAUUUGCUUAGGUGUAGCAAAUUUGAAAGGUCAUUUUCUUAGUUAUUACUUCAUUUACUAAAUUAUCAAGAGCAUUGGACAAUUUGAUUUUGUAGUGUUUUGUUUGCUGCAUUGACAAAUGAAUCUUGCAUUCUAUUGUUUUUAGUAGUUUUGGAUUACAUUCUGAAUAUGACAUAUGAUGAUCUCUUCUAUCUUCCAAAAUGUGAAUGAUCUCCAACAUUAGAGUUGUAUUUAGUUCUAUGUCCAAUGUGAGAAUGAGAAAAUUGAGAGCUCUAUUUAGUUUUAUUCCAAUUAUCUCUCUAAUAUGAGAAUGAGAUACAACAGUAGUUGGAAUGUUUUCUUGCAAUCUUCCUGUGCUAUGAUUCAGUUCUCUCUCCAUAUAUAGAAUAAGAAAAUGAGAAAGAGAAACAAGAAUAUUUGUCAUGUUUUGUCGUAAUCUUCUUGCACUAUGAUUCGGUUCUCUCCCAAUAUACCAAUGAGAAAAUGAGAAACAACAAUAUUUGGAAAGUUUUGUCGUAAUCUUCUUGCGCCAUGAUUCGGUUCUAUCCCCAAUAUGCGAACGAGAUGAGAAACAACAGUGUAUGAGAGCUCCAUUUAGUUCUAUCUCCAAUAUGAGAAUUGGAAAACAACAGUACAUGAGAGUUCUAUUUAGUUUUAUCUCUAAUACGAUAAAGAAGAGAAACAAAAGUAUUUGGAUUGUUCUCUUUGUAAUCUUCGUGUGCUAUGAGCAACGCCUACCCUCGAGGCUAUGGUAACGGGUGAUGCCUCUCUAUUCCAACAUGAGAGCUCUAUAUAUUUCUUUCGGGUUGGGGUCUCAAUUUAUGAUACCAUGUGGAAGCAGACACCAUCUUUUUGCCGACUAUAUUUCUUAGUCUUGCUGAUUUUGCCAUGCUGAACUUGGUUUUCUUGAAUUGCCAUGCUUCUUAAACUUUUACAGUAAGGCAAUAGAUAUGUGGGGGCAGGUUUUGGAAACAGUGGAUGGAGAUCUCGUGAAACUUUAGAUUUUAUUAUCUUUGCAUAUUCAUUAUUUUCUUUGAUGGCUAAACUUGUGGAUUGGGAGUUCUUGUAAACAGGCACUACGUGAGUUUGAGAGGCUUUGGCAUUUGUGUUGUUAGGCCUUCGAUCCUGAUGAUUUGAUAAUCUGUUGCAGUGAAGACUUUAUGGAUGUUUGUUACCCAGUUACGGUACAUCAUUGGACUUACAUUUCCAUUUCAUUAUUUUUUUAUAUCCAUGAUUUGGUUGUGGUAUCUCUUAUUGGUUGAAUAGUGGGAAGGCACAUGUGACAGUAGUUGUGUGUGUCUAAGCAAGUGCGAUAGUUGAUUCCGAACAUUAUGAUCAUUGAAGUUACCCUUGACUAGUCUAUGUUAGUUUUUUUUAUAUGAUAUACAAGUACAUCCAUCCUUUGUUAACAACAAUCCUUUUGAAAUAGGAUUUGUUUAAGCGCUAGUUUCGGCACGAAUAUGCAAGUUCAACUUGAAACCAGUUCAUGAUAACCUAAUUUCUUCUGAGGUUCCAGCUUUUAUUAGUUUUCAUUCGGAGUAUGUACAAGUUUGAAAAGGUAUCAUUGUGUUGAUAUAUGCUCGUUUUAGUCUAGCUAUCUUCUCCCUUAAUUGUUACUUUGACAGGGUAGGUGUGAGGUUUUUGGAUUACAAAUUGUACCAACUGUAUGUAAAGUUUGAAAUAUGUGAUGCUUUGUCAAAUGUUUUCUAGGAGUAUACUUGUGAUUUGUUUAUCUGUAGCUGUGUUUGGAUGCUUUGCAUACUACAUCUUAUGGAGUAUGUAUGGUUUUCGCUUGGUGUCCUUCACCUCGUGGAGUAUGUUAUGAGCGACCGUUUGUCCCUUGGUUUUUUAAUUCUUGAAAUUAUCUUAUAGUUCUAUACUUCGUCCUCUAUUACCAGUUAUAGUUUGUUGAAUUCUUGUUCUUUCCAGGGAUGUAAAUAAUGGCAAGAUAUUCCUUGAACGGUGAAGCAUUGGUUUUUUUUUUACUCUUACAUCAAUUUUUUCUUUCUUUUGCAUUAAUUCUUAAGUGGCUAAACUUGUUGGUUGGAUCUUUACUUAAUUUAUAAUGGAGGGCCAUUGAAUGUCCAAUUUUAAUACAUGAUAUGACAAAAGGAUUGAAUUAUGAUAUUGUCUCCUUGAAGCUUGAAUUUAUGAUCGUGUCUCUGUGCGCUGUGAUCUUAGUCACAUUGGUGGUAUAGGCAAAUUGAAAAGAAAGAUCUUGGAGUCAUUCCUUUCAUUUUAGUAGAGAUAAUUACCAAGAGAUCAAGACUAUUUGACUUCAAUUUUUUCGUUACAAAACUUUAUUUUGUCUUUAUUACUUUCCUUCAUUGACAAAUGAAUUUUGAACUUGGGUUCUUGCCUAAUUUGUGUUGCAAGAUUAUUGAUCUUUUGUAUUGGAGUUCCAAAAAUUAUAUAGUCACAAGACUAUAAUUUCAUGAGUCUUGACUUUGCUAUUCUUAUUCGGAGGGUCUGUACUAUGUAUGUUUUGUCUUUUCUGUUUUAAAGUGUUUUUCCUUGUUUUUAUUUGUGUGGUUCAGACUGAAUAAAUGAGAUACCGAUUUUCUUGUUCUCCUCAUGUUACAUCAACCAUUUUAUUGCUACUUUUAUUCAUUUGCAAAGGCUAAGUAUAAUAUUAUUUCUUCAGAUUUCUUUGUACUUGAUAGUAAAUUUUUAGGUGUUGCAUAGCGCUUGAUAUGACUUUCUCUAUUGGAUUUUCAUUCUUGAAUUUAUGAAUUCAUCUUGUCUAGAUUCUAUACUUCUAUUAAGAGGGCCUCGUAUGACUUUCUCUAUUUUAUGGAUUUGGAAGUGUUUUUUAAAUUUAUAAAAUCUAGAACUCUUUUUUGGAUUUGAAAUAAGCCUAUGAAUUAUGUAAUCAUGAUUUAUUCUAGAUUACAUAAUUCGGAAGUCAAUCUCAUAUUUAGAAAAGACUUUUGGAUUAUGUAAUUCUAAAGUUAAUCACACAUCUUAAAAAAAGGUUGUUUUCGGAUUACAUAAUUCGAAAGUUAAUCUUAUGUAUAAAAAAGACUUUCGGAUUAUGUAAUUUGGAGGCUAAUCAUAAAAGGCUUUUGGAUUACAUAAUUUGGAUCUAGAAAAAGACUUUUGGAUUAUGUAAUCUGGAAUAUUAAAAAAUGGUAUUUUGGAAUACAAAAAAUUUAUGGAGUGACACAAGAAGGUACAAAGGUGCAUGAAGAAGCAACCUUUGUAGUUUCUAUAACUUCUAUUAAAAGCAGUGGUAGUUUUCUUUAAUUUUUGGGCUUUACAGCUAACCCGACCAAUGAAACAUUUGAAAGUAUGGACUUGAUCACCCAAUCUAUGGGUUGAAUUGUGAAGGCAAUUUCUUCUUGUACCAUAUCAAUUCUAACCUUCAUCUUAUCAUUUUUCAAAAUUUCUAAAAUUUUCCUUAUACCAGAUUUAAAAAUCUGGAAUAGUAAAAAUAAUUUAAAAAUAAAAAAUAUAUUUUGGAUAAAAAAAAUCUAGAACACAAUUAAAAAUGCAUUUUAGAUAAAAAAAAUUGGAAUUCAAAAAUGUGUUCUGGAAUAUUUCUGGAUAAAAGGUUUUGGAAGUAAUUUUUAUUUACACCCUUCUUUUUUUAAGGUUAUUUUGUCAUUUUGGAAGGCCAUUUUUGUAAUCUUCAAUACCAGGUUGGGUGCAUGUUGGAAUUAAUAUGGUGCACGGAGCAAUUGCCAACUGUGAACUGGUUUCUAUACUAAAAUAUUUGGAAAUGUUUAUGGUAAUCUUUUUGUGUUGUGUUGAGCCUAUGAGCAGCUCCCUUACUUUGUCAUCUCUUUAAGAGAGUUUAGUUUUCUUGAAUCCCAUGGUUCUUGUUGAGAUUUUACGGGAAGGCAAUAGAUAUAUGUGGGCAGGUUUGGAUAACAGUGAAGAAGGAGGUUCAUUAAACUAAUUUAAAUGUUAUCCUGAAAUUUAAUGUUAGGUAAACCAGAAACUAAAUCUUUAGAUUUCAAUUUAUUUACGUGAUUAGUGUGUAUGUGAGCUAACCUCCUGUGCCAUAGCCAAGACUCAUCACUUCUAGACAGUAAACACUCAUUUGAAGAGUCAGUUUCCAUGAUAUUCAAAAGAUAUAUGUUAUUCACUCUCUUACCAGUAAACAGUACCUUACUAAAUGAAUCACUUGAGAUUGUGCAGCUAUUUGACUUAAAAUUCACCUUGUAUCCUUUGUCACAAAGCAAAGUUGACUUAUGCUGAGAAGGCUAUGCUUGAGUCCUUCUACGUAAAGCACAUUCUCAAUAGUGGUUGAGUUCCCUGUUUCAACUGUGCUUCUGCCCAAAAUUCUUCCUCGGUUAUUAUCACCAUAUGUUACAUGUCCUUCUGCUUUGAGCUUCAAGCUAGUGAAUUUUGUAAGAUCUCCAGUCAUAUGCUUGUAACAGCCACUGUCCAAGUACCACUGAUUUUUCUUGCUGCCAAUCUGCAAAACAGAAUAAAAAUGAUACAAAUGGUACCCUUUUUAGUAUAGGGUCCAGCACAUAUUAAAACAUUCUCUUUGGUAGCCAUUUUGCUAAAUUCUUAGGAACAAGAUGCUUUCUAGCAAUGCAAGACCUAGAGAUAUGACCAGAUUUCAUGCAGUAAAAACAGGUUACAUGAGAUGCUUUUUUCCCACUAUUAAAAGUUGAAAAACCUGAUUUUGUUGGAACAAAAAAACUUGAAAGCUUUUUGACACUGGUUACAUUUCCAAUGGUAUAACCAAGUCCAUUUUUAUUGAAAACAACAUUCUUUGAGCCAAGAAGAGACUCAAGUUCCCUUAGUGAAAUUGGAAAGGGUUUUUAGCAAAUACUCCACUUGUUUUUCCAAUUUUUUGCAGUUUUCACAGGUUUUAAUAGAGGCAUGCAAGCAUGUUAGUUCAAGGUUUACCAAAUCUGUUUUGGCCUUAUGCAAUUCUUCCUCAAGUGUUUUUACUUUAGGUGCAAGCACAUUAUUUACCUUUUGCAUCUUAUUGCAUAUUACAGCUAGCCUAUUUGCUUCAUCAUGUGUUUCUUUGAAAGCAACAAGCAAUUGAUCAUAGUUAUCUGAAUCCACAGAAAAAAUCACUUAUUGAAUCAGAUAUUGACUCCUCAUCCUUCAUCAUGAAGCACAAAUUGUUUUCACCAUUCUCAGUUGAAGAGUUGCCGGUUGAAGAUACUUCAUUUUCCUCCCAUGAGAUGUAAGCUCUUCUUUUCGUCUUCAGGAAUUUGCUGAAUCUUUUUGUAAGAAGACUGAUUGUUUCAUCAUCUUCAGCAUCUUCUUUUUCCUCCUUGAUAUCAUUAUGUUCAGUUGCUUUCAAUGUAAGACCUUUCGGUUUUCUCUAUGUUAUUUCCUGCUCUUUGAGUCUCUUGAGCUCUAGCUCAUGCUCCAUUAGCUUUCCAAAGAGUGCAUCUGUUCCUAGCUUUGAUAGAUCACAGUUUUUAGAUAUGGCAGUCACCUUUGGUUGCCAGCUUCUGUCGAGGCACUUCAAUAUUUUUAUGUUGAGUUCCUCUCUGUCAAAUUCAUUUCCCAAACCAGUAAGGUGAUUCACAAUACGAGUGAACCUUUUCUGCACAUUAGCAAUGCUCUCCUCGGGUUGCAUUUUAAACAAUUCAUAUUCUUGGAUGAGAGCAUGUUUUCUUGACCUCUUCACAUCUUCAGUACUCUCAUGAGUGACUUCUAAGACUUCCCACAUCUCCUUAGCUGACUUACAUUGGGAUAUCGUAAAGAACUCAUCCAUUGUUAAUGCAGAGGUUAUGAUGUUCUUGGCCACAAGAUCAUGUUGAGCCUUCCUCCUUUCGGUCUCAUUCCAUUCAAAUCUUGGCUUUACCACUUCUUCAUCCUUGACAACCUACAUUGGCACAUAGGGUCCAUGAACCACAACUUUCCAGAUUAAUGCAUCAAUAGAUUCCAUGAAAAUUCGCAUUCUAAUCUUCCAAAAUGCAUAAUUCAUUCCAUUGAACAUAGGUGGUCUAUUAACGGCAGAUCCCUCAGCAAAAAGCACUUUAAACUCAUACAUUAUUACAAACAAACUUGAUUAAAAUACAAGUCCUAGCUCUUGAUACCAAUUGUUGGGAUUAAUAGUGUCAAAGUUCAAGAGGGGGUGAAUUGAUCUUUUAAAAGUUUCUCGCAGAACCAAUAUUUUUCACAGAGUACAAAAAAUAAAUCGAUUUAUUUGAAAUUGAACAAAUUUAUUUUAGCACUAUUUGUGUUUGAAAAACGUUUAGACAGUCAGGUUAAUUACAAGAUUAUGCAGAUCGAUUUUCCAGAUACACACACUGAUAUAAUGAAGAAAAACUAUUCAUUUACAGAUGAACAGAUUUAUUUUUCAAAACGAAAACAGAAAAAGCUUAACUAUUUAAAACUCAGUCGUUUUGAAAGGUAGAAGACUUAGUCAAAAUGCUUGAUGCACAAAAUCUAAUUUUCACAAGACUUAGCCAAUGUAUCAGUUUAAAAAAGAAUCUGUUUAUUUAGAAAAGAACAGAUUUAUUUUUAUGCAGUAAACGUGUUUUUUGUAAAAUAUGUGAAAAACAGUUUAAGAAACCUUAUACUUGUUCUUAUCACAUGGUCAAUGGUUAGGAGGUGAGUUACUCAGCAAAAAGCCUACUCUUAAACAACCUCUAAACACUACCUAAGACAUUCUUAAAACAAAUGUAAAUAUACAUGAAUUGUACACAAAAGUCUUCAUCAAACACAUGUCUUGAAGGGGCAGCAACCAUCUUCAACAAUCUCCCCCUGUUUGAUGGAGACAAAUCCCCAUAGCUCUGUCGCUUUAAGAACCUGUACUGCACCGAAUACUAAACCAGAAAAACAGAACAUUGCAUAACAUGUGAAAUGGUUUUAAGGUGCAAAAUUUAACUUCCUGUUUCAGCUAGCUUCACCUAGCAUGGUGAGCUAUUUUUCCCCCCCUUUGGAUUCAUCAAACAGCAUGUAAGCAUAGGAAAAAAAAAACAAAAACAUAACCAUAAUAGUCCAAAAGAUAAAGACACAUUGUUCAACAUUACAGAAUUUUAAAACUGAUAAAGAAAGCAUGAAAAUACUUCUAAUCCUUGUAGUAUAGCUCUGCAAGUUGUACUUGAACUCCUUCAAUUUGAUCAUCAAGGUGUUGAAACCUUGCUUGAGUGGUCUCAAAAUAUGCCCUUUGUUCUGCUGUCAUGACAUCAAGGCAAUGCAAAACUUGCCUUUCAAACAUGGACAAUGGUUCACCAUGGUAUUCUGGAGUUUGAUAGGCCACAAUGACAUUCAGAUGAGUGGCAACAGCUUCUUCAUGCAUUGAUUGGGGAGCAGGUGAGUCUCCUCUGAGUUCUACAGAUGGAGAGCUUGUCCUUUGAUUUCCAGCAUGUUCAACAGAUUGCUCUUGACCAUAGGAGUGAUGGAUAACAUAACAUGAAUGUUCUGCAGCUUGAACUGUGUCAUCCUCCAUGGGAACAACUUCAUCCUCAUCUUCAUUGUUGAGGUUUGAGGCUCCAUGUUCUGCUUGAGGGUUCUUGCCUUUGAGAACCACCCAAUUGUCCUCUACUUUGUGAAAUCCCAUCUUUGUGAGAGUUGAAUUGUCAAUCUCACUUACAGCCUUGAUGGGGUCGUUUCUCUCAUUUAUAGCAUCAACACCAAAGAAAUCAAUCAAUUUUGAAACAAAAAUAGCAUAAGGAAAGCAAUAAUCAGCCAACCUUUUGGAUUUCAGCAUGUGUUCAUUUAUAAUGAAAACCCAGUUUACCUUAAUCUAGUUCAUGAUGCAAUAUAGAAGGAUUAAAUCUUCUUCAUGUAAAACAACAUGAUUUGUACCACUUGGGAUGAGUUGCCAUGCUAUAAUGUAGGUAACAAGACGUGGUGUAAGGUUCAAAUGACUUGCAUGGAACCUGUUUAUGCUCUGUGUAGGGUUCCUCAUACAGCUCUUAUAAUAUUGCAGUUUGUUGAAUUCUUGAAUCCCACUGGUGUUUCCUUUUCCAACUUUUAGUCCAGCAUACUUGAUUCCAGCCAUUGAAUUCCAAACAUCACUUGUGAUCUUCAUUUUGAUCCUUUUUCACAUAAGAGACAAUGUUCUUUCCAUCCAAUGUUAGGUUAGUGUAAAACACCUUAACCAAAUCAAGAUAUACAUUACCCGUUAAUUCCAGCAGCUUUUUCAGUUUCUGGUGCUUCAACACAGCCCUUGUUUCUGCCAAUUUUUUUGAUUUUAGCCAGUUGAAAUCUAGCACCUUAGGUAUGUUAAUCUGCUUUCUACAUGUCUCGUGCAUGUAGGCAUUGAUACCUUCUUCAUUUCCAGCGAACCAACCUUCUAGCACACCUUGAAAGGUGGUUUGCUUGCCAUUAUUUUUCUGUUUCUGUCUUGAAGAAGAAGCCAUGGUUGAACCAGAAUUUUCUCUUGGUUUCAAAUGGUGAAAACGGAAAAUAGGUAGCCAAUGUGGGUAGCAAAUAUUCGCACAGAUUUAUAUUGAGAAAUGAAUAGGUUGAUAUGACAGUUAUGAGUGGAUAUGCAUGAAGAUUUUAUGCUCUGAAUUUGUGCAGAGAAUAUAUGCAACAAAUAUUUAGGGUCACGAUGCAUACAACUCAUACCUUCAUUGAGCACCCAAACCAUCAAAUCGGUUACAUAACCAUGACCAAAACCGUCAAAGGUACAAAGGUUAAUGCCCACUAAGUCAGUCAAUCAGUCAAAGAUCAGAAUUUCUCUUUCCUAGUCAUCAAUGCAUAUCAGUACAAAAAUAAACACAUUUAAUUACGAAUAAACAUAUUUAAUUUUUCACUGCUAGGCACAAUUGACAUUUAUAAUACCCAAUUCAUUAAGCAGAAAAUUAAACCUAUCCUUAGCCAAUGGUUUUGUGAACAAAUCAGCAAGUUGUAAAUCUGUACCAAUGAAUUUAAUCUCACAUGUUCCAUUUGAAAUGUGUUCCCUUAGAAAAUGAUGCCUAAUUUCAAUGUGUUUGGUUCUUGAAUGCAUGACAGGAUUUUUGGUUAAGUUGAUUGCACUUGUAUUAUCACACAACAGAGGUAUAUGGUUAAGUAAGAUACCAAAAUCAUUUAAUUGUUGUCUUAGCCAUAUGGUUUGAGCACAGCAACUCCCUGUUGCAAUGUAUUCCGCUUCAGUCGUGGAGAGAGCUACACAAGCCUGCUUUUUGCAUUGCCAUGAGAUCAAGUUUGAUCCAAGCAAGUGACAGGUUCCACUGGUGCUCUUCCUAUCAAUUUUGCAACCUGCAAAGUCUGAAUCCGAAUAUCCAGUUAAGCUUAAUGAAAUGUUACUUGGAUACCACAAGCCAACUUCUUUAGUUCCUUGCAAAUACUUCAAAAUCCUUUUGGCAGCAUUGUAGUGUGAUUCUUUAGGAGCAGAUUGAAAUCGAGCACACAUGCACACUGCAAACAUUAUGUCAGGCCUGCUGGCAGUGAGAUACAGUAGUGAUCCUAUGAGUCCUCUGUAUUUGGUUUCAUCAACAGAAAUUCAAGCUUCAUCAUGAUCCAAGUGACAACUUGUUGAGAAGGGUGUGCUGAUUGGUUUACACUUGUCCAUUUCAAAUUUCUUCAGCAGAUCCUUGCAGUACUUAGCUUGACUUAAGAAAAUGCCAUCCUUGAGUUGUUUGACCUGCAAGCCUAGAAAAUAGUUCAACUCACCCAUCAUUGACAUUUCAAACUCACUCUUCAUGACUUUCACGAAAGCUUCACACAAUUCUCCAUUGUUUGAUCCAAAAAUGAUGUCAUCCACAUAUACUUGUACUAGGAUUAUGUCAUCUCCUUUCUUCUUAAUGAACAAGGUCUUAUCUGAUGUGCCUCUAUCAUAGCCUUGAGAGGUGAGAAAAUCACUUAGCCUCUCAUNNNNNNNNNNNNNNNNNNNNNNNNNNNNNNNNNNNNNNNNNNNNNNNNNNNNNNNNNNNNNNNNNNNNNNNNNNNNNNNNNNNNNNNNNNNNNNNNNNNNNNNNNNNNNNNNNNNNNNNNNNNNNNNNNNNNNNNNNNNNNNNNNNNNNNNNNNNNNNNNNNNNNNNNNNNNNNNNNNNNNNNNNNNNNNNNNNNNNNNNNNNNNNNNNNNNNNNNNNNNNNNNNNNNNNNNNNNNNNNNNNNNNNNNNNNNNNNNNNNNNNNNNNNNNNNNNNNNNNNNNNNNNNNNNNNNNNNNNNNNNNNNNNNNNNNNNNNNNNNNNNNNNNNNNNNNNNNNNNNNNNNNNNNNNNNNNNNNNNNNNNNNNNNNNNNNNNNNNNNNNNNNNNNNNNNNNNNNNNNNNNNNNNNNNNNNNNNNNNNNNNNNNNNNNNNNNNNNNNNNNNNNNNNNNNNNNNNNNNNNNNNNNNNNNNNNNNNNNNNNNNNNNNNNNNNNNNNNNNNNNNNNNNNNNNNNNNNNNNNNNNNNNNNNNNNNNNNNNNNNNNNNNNNNNNNNNNNNNNNNNNNNNNNNNNNNNNNNNNNNNNNNNNNNNNNNNNNNNNNNNNNNNNNNNNNNNNNNNNNNNNNNNNNNNNNNNNNNNNNNNNNNNNNNNNNNNNNNNNNNNCAAUUCAUUUUGAUUUAAAACAGAUUUAAAUUCAUUACUGUCAAGAUCAUCAGCAGCAGUUUUAGAUAUGUUAUGAUCAGUUUCAUAAAAAACAACAUGCAUUGAUUCUUCUACUAUGAACAAUCUUUUAUUGAAGACUCUAUAUGCAUGAUCAUUCAAAGCAUAACCAAUGUGCACACCUUCAUCAGAUUUAGCAUCAAACUUACCAAGAUUUUCUUUGCCAUUAUUCAAUACAAAGCAUUUACACCCAAAAACUCUAAGGUGGCUCACACUAGGUUUUCUGCCCUUAUACAAUUCAUAUGGGGUUUUCUUAAGAAUAAGUCUUAUUAAGGUUCUAUUCAACACAUAAGUUGCAGUAUAUACUGCAUCUGCCCAAAAAUACUUAGGGAGCUUAGAUUCAUUUAACAUGGUUUUAGCUAGUUCCUCUAAUGAUCUGUUUUUCUUUUCAACUACACCNNNNNNNNNNNNNNNNNNNNNNNNNNNNNNNNNNNNNNNNNNNNNNNNNNNNNNNNNNNNNNNNNNNNNNNNNNNNNNNNNNNNNNNNNNNNNNNNNNNNAUUUGUUUACCUUUCACACAAGCAUCACAGAGCCUGUUAUCCUUAAAUUUAAUGUUAGGUAAACCAGAAACUAAAUCUUUAGAUUUCAAUUUAUUUAAGUGAUUAGUGUGUAUGUGAGCUAACCUCCUGUGCCACAACCAAGACUCAUCACUUCUAGACAGUAAACACUCAUUUGAAGAGUCAGUUUCCAUGAUAUUCAAAAUAUAUAUGUUAUUCACUCUCUUACCAGUAAACAGUACCUUACUAGAUGAAUCACUUGAGAUUGUGCAACCAUUUGACUUAAAAUUCACCUUGUAUCCUUUGUCACAAAGCUGACUUAUGCUGAGAAGGCUAUGCUUGAGUCCUUCUACAUAAAACACAUUCUCAAUAGUGGUUGAGUUCCCUGUUCCAACAGUGCCUUUACCCAAAAUUCUUCCUCGGUUAUUAUCACCAUAGGUUACAUGUCCUUCUGCUUUGAGCUUCAAGCUAGUGAAUUUUGUAAGAUCUCCAGUCAUAUGAUUGGAACAGCCACUGUUCAAGUACCACUGAUUUUUCUUGCUGCCAAUCUGCAAAACAAAAUAAAAAUGAUACAAAUGGUACCCUUUUCAGUAUAGGGUCCAGCACAGAUUAAAACAUUCUCUUUAGUAGCCAUUUUGCUAAAUUCUUAGGAACAAGAUGUUUUCUAGCAAUGCAAGACCUAGAGAUAUGACCAGAUUUCAUGCAGUAAAAACAGGUUACAUGAGAUGCUUUUUUGCCACUGUUAAAAGUUGAAAAACCUGAUUUUGCUGGAACAAAAAAACUUGAAAGCUUUUUGACAUUGGUUACAUUUCCAGGGGUAUAACCAAGUCCAUUUUUAUUGAAAACAGCAUUUUGUGAGCCAAUAAGAGACUCAAGUUCCCUUGGUGAAAUUGGAAAGGGUUUUUAGCAAAUACUCCACUUGUUUUUCCAACUUUUUGCAAUUUUCACAGGUUUUAAUAGAGGCAUGCAAGCAUGUUAGUUCAAGGCUUACCAAAUCUGUUUUGGCCUUAUGCAAUUCUUCCUCAAGUGUUUUUACUUUAGGUGCAAGCACAUUAUUUACCUUUUGCAGCUUAUUGCAUAUUACAGCUAACCUAUUUGCUUCAUCAUGUGUUUCCUUGAAAGCAGCAAACAAUUUAUCAUAGUUAUCUGAAUCCACAGAAAAAUCACUUACUGAAUAUUGACUCCUCAUCCUUUAUCAUGAAGCACAGAUUGUUUUCCUCAUUCUCAGUUGAAGAGCUGUUGGUUGAAGAUACUUCAUUUUCCUCCCAUGAGAUGUAAGCUCUUCUUUCCUUGCUCCUUUCCACUCUCUUGCUGGCAGAUUUAUCCUUUGAUUGAUUGUUUGGACAAUUCAUUUUGAUGUGCCAUGUUUUGCCACAGCCAAAGCAAGUAUAGUUAGAGGAAUUUAAAUAAUUAGGUUUUGGAUACAUUCUUUUCUGCUGGUUCCUAUUUCUGCUUUUCUUCUUCAAGAAUUUGCUGAAUCUUUUUGUAAGAAGACUGAUUGUUUCAUCAUCUUCGGCAUCUUCUUUUUCCUCCUUGAUCUCAUUCUGUUCAGUUGCUUUCAGUGCAAGACCUUUGGGUUUUCUCUCUGUUCUAGCUCAUGCUCCAUUAGCUUUCCAAAGAGAGCAGCAGUUCCUAGCUUUAACAGAUCAUGACUUUCAGAUAUGGCAGUCACCUUUGGUUGCCAGUUUCUGUUGAGGCACUUUAAUAUCUUUAUGUUGAGUUCCUCUCUGUCAAAUUCUUUUCCCAAACCAGUAAGGUGAUUCACAAUACGAGUGAACCUUUUCUGCACAUUAGCAAUGCUCUCCUCGAGUUGCAUUUUAAACAAUUCAUAUUCUUGGAUGAGAGCAUGUUUUCUUGACCUCUUCACAUCUUCAGUACCCUCAUGAGUGACUUCUAAGACUUCCCACAUCUCCUUAGCUGACUUACAUUGGGAUAUCCUGAAGAACUCAUCCAUUGUUAAUGCAGAGGUUAUGAUGUUCUUGGCCACAAGAUCAUGUUGAGUCUUCCUCCUUUUGGUCUCAUUCUAUUCAGAUCUUGGUACACUUGCUGAAAAACCCUAAACCUUUGUGAUUUUCGAAAUCUUUUAAGAACAGAUGUUAAUUCCUUGUAAAUCCUCAAUUCUCUAAUGCAAAACUUGUUUUUACAAUUGUAUGAUCGAUUGUUAAACUCAUAAACAAGUUUUCAUUUUAUAGAAAACCAACUUAUAACAAAUUUUUGAAAAACAGUUAAAGCUGUUAUAAAAUGAACAAAUUGAAAAUAAAAUGAACAGAUUUAUUUUCAGAAAGCUGUUAGAGAAUUUGUUAUGAGAGGAGACUUAGUCAACCAUUCUGGUGCAGGGACAAAACUGAAAACCGUUUAAGAUAGCCAUGGCACCAGAGUCAAAAAGAAUCUAUUCAUUUACAGAUGAACAGAUUUAUUUUUCAAAACGAAAACAGAAAAAGCUUAACUAUUUAAAACUCAAUCGUUUUGAAAGGUAGAAGACUUAGUCAAAAUGCUUGAUGCACAAAAUCUAAUUUUCACAAGACUUAGCCGAGGCAUCAGUUUAAAAAAGAAUUUGUUUAUUUAGAAAAGAACAUAUUUAUUUUUAUGUAGUAAACGUGUUUUUUGUAAAAUAUGUGAAAAAAAAUUUAAGAAACCUUAUGCUUGUUCUUAUCACAUGGCCAGUGGUUAGGAGGUGAGUUACUCAGCAAAAAAACCUACUCUUAAACAACCUCUAAACACGACCUAAGACAUUCUUAAAGCAAAUUUAAAUAUACAUGAAUUGUACACAAAAGUCUUCAUCAAACACAUGUCUUAAAGGGGCAACAACCAUCUUCAACAAUAUAUAGUCCCAACAAGAUGAUGUUUGAAUGUGAAAAAUGUCUCCAUUAAAUGUUUAUGAAUAGUAAUUAUAUUUCACUUUUUUAUUGUUAUCCAAAACAUAUCUUUGCUGUUUCUAUCCAAUAUCAAUUCUAUUUCACGCAACAUCCUUAUUUCUAGGUGGAAGUGUUAAAAGAUGUACUGACACACAAUUGCAACCAUUUCCCAACAUCAAUAAACAGUCAAUAAAAAAAUAAUUAUUUUAACUUUAUUUUUCAACCAUAUUAAAAAAAACAAUCACUUUAUUCACGAAAUUCUCCUGUGAAACUUCUAGAUUGCUUUUUUAAUUUAUGCAUGAAACUUCAUCCCGAAACCACACAUGUCAUUACCAUUUCUUGUUCUCCAUUCAUCAUUCGCCCCAAACAAAAUUGUGAAUCCAAACCUAACUCCAAAUUCUCCAUUCAUCCUUACCUCCCAACAAAAUUUUUGAAACCUAGCUAUGACACAAAACCAGAGUAUCUAAUUGGAAACGAACCUAGAAUAUGACCACAGUGUCAGGCGAGGCAACUCGACGCAAAAUGACAACAAGGCGACUAUUCCAUAACAGUGAGAAACGACAAGGCAAUAGUGAGCGAUGGCGAGAGAGACAAUGAAGCCUUAAGUGAAACACGAAUAAAAAUUGGUACAAAACAAAAUAAAUUUGAAAUUUAACUUGAGACUCGCUAGUUUGACUGGUUCUACCAAUUUUGGCUCGAGUUUGCUGAAAAAUGAGUUUGUUCAUGAGUUGACUUGUGACCCAAAAGUAGAUUUUUAAACUUGGACAAGUUAGCAAGUUGAGUCACGAGUUUGAUAAUCAUGUACUUGUAUUGUUUUCUUACGCUAUGAGUCUUUUACAAGAUUCACCUUUUUUGGAUGACACAUUAACUUUAAAUACAAUCCUUUUAAGGUCAUUACAAUGUUGAACAUGUGAAACUGAGAAACAUAAAGGGAAUCCCUCUAGAUCUUCAAGGCAGUACCAUUACCACCAUCAUUAUGUCACAAGUUGAGCAAUUCAUCUAUUGGAUUUUUAGAUUCUUAUAAAUAUUGUUCAUCAUUCUCUAUCCAAGUCUCUAAUUUACCUUUUAGUUUUAUGACUCAACAUGAGUCAUUUUAUGAGUCAUUUUAUUGACACUAGUCUCAUUUAGGCACCAAGUCAAAUUUUUACUUCUAUGUGGGAAGAUGACUCUAACGUUUUCUCAAAGAAUGUAUAUAAAUCUUUACAUUGAUGAUAUGUUGCUUAUCUACUUUCACAAUUGAUUAGAACCAGAUCAUGAGACAACUAUAACCUAUAACUCACUCCACACUUGUUAAGCAACUAUUUAUUCCAUAUUCUUCUAAUUUGAUAAUAUCACUUUUUAUUCAUCACAAACUAAAAGCAUUGUAAUUGACGUAGAGUCGAUUCAUCCAAUAGAUUAUACUUGGACCCUUUAAGGUAGAUAUCUCAAAUUCACUUAAAAAUGUUACACCAAAAUAAAUGUUAUUGUAAGAGUAUUAACCUAAAAGACAACUUCAAAAUCUACAAACAAACAUAUUACACUAACAUAUGUUCAAUAUCAAAUUACACACUAUAUAAAAAUAAUCAUGUAUAUAUUUAAAUGUAACUAACUUUUAGAAUUAACAAACUUUUAGAAUUAAGAUAAAAAAUUAUCUUGAUGUAAUAAUGAAUGUGCACCUUGACCACUUUCUCAAUUUUUUCUUUUUCAAUAAUUUUAUCUUCAUUCAUUAUAAUAUAAACAAAAUCUCAAAAAUUAUUUUUAAACUUUCAACUAAAAACUUUUAGUUAUAUUUAAAGUAGACAUAAACAAAUAUAUGCACAUGCAAAAAUAAUCUACUACUAGGGAUGACAAAGCAAGGCGGAUCAACCCGUUAAGAAAUAACACAGUGCAGAAGUACCGUUCAAAUAUCUGGGUCUGGAGGUGGGAGGGAACCCAAGAAAGAAGCAAUUCUGAGAACCAGUUAUAAGUAAGUUGAAAGCAAAACUCAGUGUUUGGAAGCGGAGAUUUUUAUCCAUGGCAGGGAGGAUAUGCUUAAUUAAUUCUGUUCUAACCGCAAUUCCUUUGUUUUACCUCUCUCUUUUCAGAGUACCAGCUUCGGUGUGUAAAAGGAUUAUUAGUAUUCAAAGAAGAUUUUUGUGGGGCUGGGGGAAACUAACCAAGCCAAUUGCUUGGGUUAGCUGGAAUGAUGUUUGUAGACCAAAAGAGGAGGGAGGGUUGGGGUGUAGGGAUAUACGCCUGUUUAAUCAAGCUCUACUAGCCAAGUGGAGAUGACAAUGUCUUUCGGAGGAGAAUGGAAGAUGGAAGAUGUUGUUGGAUUCUAAAUACAACCUGGGGGAUGAAAACAGUCAAACACCUGUCAAAUAUCAAUCUUGGUGGUGGAAAGACUAAAGUGUGCAAGGUUGGUGGAGGAAGAUGGUGGUUUCAGGAAGAGCUAGGUUGGGAAGUAGGUUGUGGUGAUAAAGCAAAGUUCUGGGAGGAUGUAUGAAUUGGUAGUGUCGAUCUUUAGUCCUUGUUCCCGCGCUUAUACUCUUUAUCUUUAAACCAAGGUAAAGCAGUGGGGGAGAUGGGUGUAUGGGAUGAUACGGAGUGGAGGUGGGACUUGAGGUGGAGGCGUGACAGAUUUGUAUGGGAAUCUUCUCUGGAGAGGGACCUUACUAUGCUUCUAUCAAGGGUCAUUAUGAGAAAGAAUGUCCAGGAUAUCCAGGUUUGGGGGAAGGAGAUACUGGGGCUGUUUUCGGUGAGCUUGGCGUAUGAGUGUCUAUCUAAGCAUGGUAGAGGGAACAAUGACGAAGUGUUUAAGCUCCUGUGGAAGGUGAAGGCCUUUCCAAAUGUUUUGGUAACAACCUGGAGGGUGUUUAAGGGGAGAAUCCCCACUAGAGUGAGUUUGAGCCAGAGAGGGAUGAUGUUGAACUCAACAGUGUGUCCCUUGUGUUUGCUACAAGAAGAGACCUGUCAACAUCUUUUCAUGGAUUGUAAAUAUGCUCAACAAGUAUGGUCCCAAUGCCUUCAGUGGGUAGGCAUUUCCUUUGUUGAGCAUCAUGAUCUUAAGCGGCAUUUCCUAAGUUUCCACUUGUUUUAAGAUAGUAACAAGCAGAAUAAGAUCUGCAAAGGGGUAUGGGUAUUGUUAUUAGAAGUAUAUGGGACCAAAGGAAUUUGAUUACCUUUCAGCAAGGGGUAGUAGAUGCAGAGGAGAUAUUCUAGAGGGCCCAACUUAAGUCUUGGUUGUGGCUGAAGCAUAAAGCCCGUUCGUUUUCUUACUCUUUUACAGAUUGGGUUUUUAACCCAAUUAUCUGCAUUAAAAGCUGCUAAUGUUUCCUGGUUUUGUGUCUUCUGAAGAAGCUGGUAUUUCUGGUUGGUAUCAUGUGAAGGUUAUGGUUCGGAUGGAACCUGUGAUGGUGAAGGAGUGAAUCCCUUAGGGGUUAGCUGUUGUUACCUGUAUUGGGGUUGGUCUUCAAGCAUUUUUUGCAGGAACACGAAGCAUCUUCAUAAAGGAGUCAUAACACGGGAACAACUGUUUUGUUGUGGCAGGGUGGUCUUCUGCAGUUUCUGGAGUCACGGGGCGUGCUUAGAUCAAGGUUGGAUGCUUUGGAGGGGAGCUGAGGUUGGGUUUGAGCCACGCAUUUCAGGGGGGUAGAGAUAGCUUGGUUGAGGAAUGUGAAGUUGUGGUAAUGACUAACCAAGGCGUUAAGCCGGGUUACGUGUAAAGGUGGACUGGUGGCUGGUUGGCUGGUUGGACUGCUAUAAUACGUAUGUGUAGGGGAGGGUCGGUGAAGGAAUGAAGGUUUCAAGUGGAGAGGGUGUGAUUAGAAGGGUGCCGGUUGGGGAGCAGCUUGGAAAACUGGUGAAGAAUAGGAUUUUGUAGGUGUUGUUGUGCUGUUCUUUGGAGUGCAGUUGGGUUUUGGGUGCUGCUAUUUUUAUUGUUACUAUCAUUUUGGUUCUUUCAUAAGUGUUGGUUUGGGUUUGGCAUUCCCUUUUGUAGGUUUAGGCUUUUUGGUUAUACUUUCUUUUGUGGAAGUGUAACUUUGUGGUUGUAGUAUACGGGUUGGGAUACCCCUUAAGUAUCCCCCUUAAUUUUAUUCAUUUAUUGCUGAUAAAAAAAAAACAAUGCAGGCAUCAUAUUUCAACUUGUUGACUUGCUUAGGUUCACCUCGCAUAACUCGCAGUCCACACGGGCCAACGGGAUAGGCUGACUCAUAACCCACAUAUUCUAAAAAAUUAUAGACUUAUUCAUUCUAAAAUUUAUAAUCUGUAAUACAAAAUUGUAUUAUAAACUGUACAAUCUAGACUAUUGUACAAUCUAUAACUAUAUAUAGCUGCAAGAAGAAACUUUCCUCAAUCCCUAGUUCAUAACACCUUCAUGAAAUUUUAUAAUAGUUUUUUUUUUCCUUUUUAAAAUGCAUAAAUUGUCUAGGUUUCAAUAUUCAAAUGUUAAAUGCACUAGUCAAACUUUAGCCUUUUUAUAAUAAAAUUUAAAUAUAAUAAUAAUAUUAUAUAUAUAUAUAUAUUUUAAAUUAGAAUAGUAAUCAUGUGUCUACCUGUAUUAUCUUUGAAACGUAUAUAUUUAAAAAAAUAUUUAUUAGUCAAUUUAUUAGUAUGAUCAAAAUUCAAACUUCAUUGAAAAUCAAAAUAUUAUUAUAAUUUUUUUAUCCAUAUUUUAUUACAUGUGUCGUGAGAAUAAUACUAUGAAACUAUUAUUACCUAAUUCAUUUAAAUAAGAAAAAAAAAUUAAUAAACAAAACAAAAGUUUAUUAAAAAAUUAUAUUUAAUUUUUUUUCAUUAAUUAAAAAAAAAAUCUUAUGUGGAUCGGCUCGUGGGUUAGCUAGCAUGCGAGGCGGGCCAAUAAAAGCAACUAAUAUAUUUUACACAGGACGAACCAACUUGGCCUGUAUUUUAUGGGCCAAAUGCAAGGCGGACGGACCUGCAUUACCAUUCAUACCCACUACCUUCAGGUUAUCCUAAGGACGAACAACUCUAAUACCAUAAAUGUAACACCCCCAAAUUUAUUGUACACUUAUUACAAAGUUUAUUGUAAUAUAAUUUCAUUAUUAAAAAACUAUAUAAAUCAUACAUGAAUUUAUACAUUAAGGAUAUUUAAUCCAUUUCUGCUCAAGCUAAAAUAUUCCCGCUCAACUUAAAAAAAAAAACUUUUUUUUCUUCUUGUCUCAUCAAUGAAUUUGAUUCUUUAGCAAAAAUAGUGUUAAAACACAAGUUUGAGUGCAUGGUUACUUUCGCUCGAGCAAGAAUUGACUUGUUGGAGAAAAAUAUCAACUAUUGCAAUAAUACAAAGUCAUUUUUAAAGUUGUACCUUAAAACCAAUUCAAACUCAAACAUUAAAAAUAAGUUCAACAACACACAACAUCAAAUAGGGCAUGAAGUGUUCACAUCACUCUUUAGUUUAUUUUAUUAUGCUAAGGAUCUGCCAAAAAUAUAAUUAUUUUUUCUUACGUGAAAUUCCUUAUUUCAAGAAAAAAUCUACCUCAAGCAAAAGAACCACUCAAAAUUUAAAGACCUAAAGCAAAAUAUUCAAACUUAAUUAAAUUUGAAUAAAAGGUUAAUCAAGUUGAUGAUCGCUUUUGGCAACUAAUUUUACCAAGAUGGAUGACAUAAUUAUAAGAAAAUAAAAAAUAAAGAAUAUUCAGGGUAAAUAAGAACUUAUCUUGUUUUGAAAAUCUAAUUAGAUAAAAAUAAUUUCUAAAUCUUUAGCUAUUGUAGGGUGUGAUCAAAAUUUAAAAUAAAUGAAGUGUGAAAAGCAGAAAAGUAGAAUGAAAGGUCAUGAAAAUGGCCAAUUGCAGUAAAAGAGAGUGUCAAAACAAGAAUCGUGAAUACAGAGAAGUUCAGAGAAAAAAUGAGGAGAAGCUUUGAGAGAGAGAAAAGAUGAGUGAAAGAGGGUUUCAUUAAUCAAUCUAUGAAAAUGUACAGUGUCAUGUGUUUUUACAAAAGGUAAAAGAAUAGGCAAUUUCUUCUUGCACCCCUACGUUUUUCUUCCUGCACCCCCACAAUGUAAUGUAAAGACAAAAAUAUCCCUAUUAUUUUUUAAAAAUUCCAAAAUACACAUAAGACCCACAAUACUCUUUCUUCUUCCGGACAAUGCAAUUUGGUAAUUUUAUGGAAUAGGAAAUCCGCAUUUAUUUUUUUGCAUUUUGAAUUGGGAAAUCCAUAAAUCUUCCGAAUUGGUGAAUCUGGUAAUCUUCCGGAUUGGUGAAUCCGGUAAUCUUCCGGAUCCAUCAAUCCGUAACAAAAAUUAGACUUCUGGAUUCAGUAAUCCAGAAAUCAACAAGUUGCUUUUGAAACACCCCUUUAUUUGAAAAAGAACACGAAUCACUUCUGGAUUGAUGAAUCCGUAGCACACUCCCGGAUCCCAAUAUCUGGUAACCUAAAAAACUCUAGUUUUUUUAAAAUAAAAGGUGAAGGUCAGUUUUGGGAUUUACAAAAUUUUGGGGGUGCAGGAAAAAAAUGUAGGGGUGUAGGAAGAAGAAGCCAAAAGAAUAUAGGCGGGUGUUUCUUCCUGCACCCCCACAGUCUUGUGCAAAGACAAAAUUGCCCUUUAAAAUUUUUGAAAUUACAAAAUUACCCUUGAUGUAAUAAAACCCUAAAAAGUUAAAAUGAUGGUCAUUUGUGCGUGGUGGCCGGCCGUCUUCUUCGAUAGCACAGGUCUUCUUCAGCAGCAAUCUCUUGCAAUAGCUUCUUCUUCCAAAUCUCAUCCAUCUCUCAUUCAUAAAGGUACAUUCAUGUGUUUCGGAUUUUGGUAUCCGUUUUUUUCAUGGAUUGUUGUUUCCGUAAAUAUUAUUUCACAUUCCAAAUCACAGAAUCCGGUAAGUUUUCGAAUUUGGGGAUCCGGUAGUUUCCCGGAUUUGUGGAUCCGUUAGUUUCCUGGAUGUAAGGAUCAGGUAGUAUUCCGGAUUUAGGAAUCCGGUAGUGUUCUGGAUUUAGGUGAAGUUUAACACCCUUUUUUCUUUCAUUUUCACCCAUGUCACUCCUUAGUACUAAUUCUUCAAGCUGUAAGAGAGGCAUCCACUAGUCUUGGAGUUGAAAUUAGUAAAGUCUUGUAGUUAUUGUUAUAACAUCUUUACCAUAUAUGCUUAUUCCUUGUAUAUUUUUCUCUGGUUAGUUUGAAGUUUUAAUAUUUAUUUCACUUUCCAGUUUUUAUAUUCCUUUCAAGGAAGUCAUGACUCGCAAACUCAUUAGUAAUCACAAUGUCGGUAAUGCAAGUAAAGCAUUCCGGAUUCAUGAAUCCAUAACACAAAAUACUGUACCGGAUCAACCCAUCCGUAAUGAAAUUUUAGCUUCCAGAUUCACAAAUCCGGAGAACAACAUAUUAUUGCAUUUUACUUCUGGAACACCCCCUCAUCCGGAACACAUUAUUUCAUUUAUUCCGGAUUCAUGAAUCCGGAAGGUAUUACCGGAUUCCGAUAUCCGGUAAUCCCGAAAUUUCCAUAACCACCGUGUUUCUUAAAAAAAACCUUUACUCUUACCUCUAUAACCCAGACAACAGUUCGGCAACGUUGUGUACUCCUCCGCCUUUCUUCCAACAAUUAUGAAGAACCUCCGCAACACUUGAAACCCAAGGAUGAAGAUGAGCAGUGACUGUGGAAGUGCUGAACGUUGCCCUUUUCAAAUUUUUGCUCAAGGUUAAUGUUGGAAUAUUGAAAAUUGUGGGGGUGCAGGAAGAAAAACGUGGGGGUGCAGGAAGAACAAGCCAAUAUAGGCACUAGUAAGAGCCCAAAAACCCACAAAGAGCCCAAAAACAGAAAAGAGAAAAAAUAGAAUAGCUGCAGUAACAGAAUAAUAUUCUAAUACAAAUACACUAACAGAAUGAUAUUUUAACAAAAGGAAAGAAAGUGAAGGCAGAAAAAAUUACAAUUAUUCUCAACAACAACAAAAUUGUAUCAUUCAGAAAUUAUAUUAUUUACAAAAAAUAUUAAAAUAUAAUUUCUUAUCUUUUUUUUUUCAUCUCUGAAUUGGAAUUAUGUAUAUGAAAUCUUAAAAAAACGACUAUAUUUAUAUUUUUAUCAUGAAAUUGCUUUAUUUGAAAAUCUAAAAUUUUAACAGACUUUUCUAAAAAUAUAUAUUUUCUUUUACUUACACUGAAUUAUAUUCUAAAUUAUAAUUGAAUUGUGUAUAUAUUUUUGUAGUUGCAAUAAAUAAAAAAUAUUAUAAUAGAAGAGAUCAAACAAAUUCUUAUUAAUUUUUAUGUAUUUGAAAUUAUUCUCUUGAAAAUAUGAUAACGACCUAUAAUUUAUGAGUCAAAUUUUUAUAUUAAAUCGUCUUUUUUACACUCUAAGAAAAACAUACUUACUAAAGUAUGAAUUUAAAGUUGUUCUUAUUUCAUCUGUAUAAAAUUGUUGCCGACUAAAACUGUUUUGAAAAUUGGAUUUACAAUUGAUAAUAACAGAUGAAAAAUACCUUAAAUUAAUAUACAGUAUAUUUAUUAAAAGAUCACCAUUAUUUAAUAAUAAAAAUUAUUUGUUUUUGAAAUAUAAAAAAAUCGAUGGAACUUAUAAUAUAUAACUAUUUAUAUUAAAAGUUCUUUUUAUGUAAAUUAUUUUUAUAAUUUAUGCUAUUAAUUAUUGGUGAGAUCAUAGUCUCUUUCCCUUAAAAAAAAUAAAAAUAAAACAUUAAGUGUGGAUGACAAUAACUUUUGUCCAGCUACAUUAUAUAAUAUUAAUAUUACCCAUCGCAUAUAACUUUAGUUUUAUUAUUCAAACUAUUUAUUUAUGACUUAAUUUAAAUAAACAUCCUCAUGAAAUUUCCCGCUAAGUGAGUUGGCGCCCAAAAUCCUCUCUUAUAUAUAAAGACAGUAACAGUGAACCAAAGAAACACAACAAAACUCUAAGUGAGUUGGCGCCCAAAAUCCUCUCUUAUAUAUAAAGACAGUAACAGUGAACAAAGAAACACAAUUUCUAGCCAUUCCAACUCUCCAAUUUCAAGCGUCAAAUGUACUCUUCUCUCUUCUGUAACUUACCAUCUUUUUGGAAAUCUCCAGAGUUGAAACCAAAUCCUACAGCGUGAAACUGAAACCCCGAUUGAAAUAUUAUGUUUUGGUCAAUAUCCAAGAUCAGUUUGUUGGUAUUGCUUUGAUGAUUCUCAAUAAGGUUUUGUGGAAUUACAUGAUGUUUGCGUCGUGGGAUAGAAGAGUUAUUAAGAAUUAUUAGUAAGUGAUCAAUGUGCUUUUAUCGGAUUGUGAUUCAUUUACGCCGAAUGUGAUUCUUUGUGAUGAUGGCGAGUUUUAAAUCUUUUUUGUCUAUGGAUGAAAUGAAAAACAUAAUAGUUCAGAAAGGCCAAUUGAUCCAGGUGUUGCAUAGCAUUGAGCCUGGUAUGACUUUCUCUUUGGCUUUUCAUUCUUGAAUUUAUGGAUUCAUCUUCUCUAGUUUCUAUAGCUUCUAUUAAGAGCGCCUAGUAGGACUUUCUCUAUUGGCUUUUCUUUCUUGAAUUCAUCUUGUCUAGUUUCUAUAACUUCUAUUAAGGGUGUCAAUGGUUUUCUUUAAUUCUUGGGCUUUACAACUAACACAACCAAUGAAUCAUUUGAAGGUAUUUGAGUAAUUUUGGACUUUGUCACCAACCAUAUGGGUUGAACUGUGAACUGGUUUCUCUACUGUAAUAUUUGGAAGUGUUUCUUGGAAUCUUUCCGUGUUGUGUCGAGCCUAUGAGCGGCUCCCUUGGUUUUGAAAUUUUGAAUUUACCUUAACCUUUCUAUACUAUGUCAUAUCAUCUCUUUAAAAGAGGUUAGCUUUCUCGAAUCCCCAUGAUUCUUGUUCGGCUUUUAUUGGAAGGCAAUAUAAAUGUGGGCUGGUAUCAGAAACAGUGAAUGGCGGUCCAGUGAAACUUUAGGUUUUAUUAUCUUUGCGGUUAUUCUUUUGGCUAAACUUGAGGAGUGGGGUUCUUGUAGACAGGCACUAUAUGACUAUGAGAGGCUUUGACAUUUGUGUUUGUGUCUUCGACUUUGAUUAUCUUCUUCUACAUGUUGCAGUGACUUUCUACAUGUUGCACUGACUUACUAUGGAUGUCUGUUGGAUUGUGGAGGCAAUUGCCGUAGAUUAUUGGACUUGUGAAGCUUUAGGUUUUAUUAUGUUUCCAUUCACUAUCUUAUGUGCUUGAUUUGAAAUGGCUAUAUUCUCUCUUAUUGGUUGAAUAGUAGGAAGCUACACGUGUCAGUCACUGUGUGUCUAAGCUAGGGCGAUUCUUAAUUAUGCUUAUCCUUUAUCUCAUGAUCCCAACUAUCUUCCAAAAUGAGAAUGUUCUCCAUAAUGACAGUAAUAUUUAGUUAUAUUUCCAAUAUGAGAAUGAAAAACUAUCUCUCAAGGCUAUGAGUGACCUAUUCCAAAAGGAAAGCUCCAACAUGAGAGCUCUAUUUACUUCUUUCGGGUUGGGGUCUCAGUAUUUGUGAUAGGAUAUGGAAGCAGACUGUAUCUUAUUUCUAACUAUAUUUCUCAAUCUUAGUCCCUUGCUGAUUUUGGUCUUUAUUAUUUAAUGUUUUUGGACUUGAUCACCUAACAUAUGGGCUGAACUGUUGUUUAUCUACAAUAGUAUUUCAAAGUGUUUUUGUNNNNNNNNNNNNNNNNNNNNNNNNNNNNNNNNNNNNNNNNNNNNNNNNNNNNNNNNNNNNNNNNNNNNNNNNNNNNNNNNNNNNNNNNNNNNNNNNNNNNUUGAUAUUUGUGAAUUUUCUUAUUGUUUCUGUACUUUGUCAUGUCAUCUUUUUAAGAAGAUUAGUUUUCUCAAAUUGCCACGAGUCUUCUUGAGCUUUGCCACCAGUUAAACUUUAGGUUUUAUUAACUUUGCAUUUAUGAUGCUGAUAAAAAACAUCUUUGCAUUCAUUAUUUUCUUUGCUGUUAUUCUUUUUGCUACUCUUGUGGAGUCGGAGUUCUUGUAAUUGGGCCUUUGACUUUGAUGAUUUGAUUAUCUUCUACUUGUGUUGUACUGAACUUUGAGCUUUGCCAUGAGACUUCUUGAGCUUUGCCAUGAGUCUUCGUGAGCUGCCAUGAGUCUUUGUGAGCUGCCAUGAGUCUUCUUGUGCUUUGCCAUGAGUCUUUGUGAGCUGCCAUGAGUCUUUGUGAGCUGCCAUGAGUCUUCUUGAGCUUUGCCAUGAGUCUUCUUGUGCUUUGCCAUGAGUCUUCUUGAGCUUUGCCAUGAGUCUUCUUCAGCUUUGCCAUGAGACUUCUUGAGCUUCGUCACGAGACUUCUUGAGCUUUGCCAUGAGUCUUCGUGAGCUUUGCCAUGAGUCUUCUUGAGCUUUGCCAUGAAUCUUCUUGAGCUUUUACAUGAAGGAUGUAGGGUUCAGGUUUUGGAAACAGUGGAUGGAGAUACAGUUAAAGUUUAGGUUUUAUUAUCUUUGCAUUCAUUAUUUUCGUUGUUGUUAUUCUUUUUGCUACUCUUGUGGAGUGGGAGUUCUUGUAAUUGGGCCUUUGACUUUGAUGAUUUGAUUAUCUUCUACUUGUGUUGUAGUGAACUUUGAGCUUUGCCAUGAUUCUUCUUGAGCUUUGCCAUGAGACUUGUUGAGCUUUGCAAUGAGACUUGUUGAGCUUUUACAUGAAGGAUGUAGGGGUCAGGUUUUGGAAACAGCGGAUGGAGAUACAGUUAAAGUUUAGGUUUUAUUAUCUUUACAUUUAUUAUGCUGAUAAAAAAAAAAUUGCAUUCAUUAUUUUCUUUGCUGUUAUUCUUUUUGCUACUCUUGUGGAGCGGGAGUUCUUGUAAUUGGGCCUUUGACUUUGAUGAUCUGAUUAUCUUUUUCUAUUUGUGUUGGAAUGAACACUUACCAUGGAUGUUUGUUGGACAUAUUGUGAAGCUUCAGGUUUUAUUACUUUUCUACUCACUAUUUUUCUUAUUUGCUCGAUUUGGAAUGUCUACAGUUUCUCUUAUUGGCUGGAUAGUUGGAAGGUAUUUCAUUGUAUGUAUCUAAGCAAGAGUGAUGCGUCUAGGUCCUCCAUCAUCUACCGUUAUUGAUUAUAGUUUUCUUGAAUUCAUUGGCCUUACAGGAAAGCUAAGCAAUGAAGUGUGGUGUAGGAUGUAAAAAUGGUGGGUCGAAAUUCUGUGGUGAAGCUAAAUGUUUCUUUCACCAGGACAUUGUUGUGUUCAACUGAUUUAAUUUUUAACUGGCUCAACUUGUCGGUUUGAUUAUAAUCUUGUUUGUAACUUGUUGGUUUGAUUAUAAUCUUGGUUGUAUUUUGAUAAUGUAUGUUUCUAAGAGGCAUUGUGGGAUGAGAAUGAGACAAGUACAGUUGAACUUUACUCUUUGAUUUGAUGGUUUGCUUCUUGGUUUGAAAAGUUCUACUAUUUAAUUUUGAUGACUUCUCUGCAUAAUUCUAUAAUAUAGGUCUUUUGUUCUAUAUAGGUCUUUUGUUCUUUUAAUAAUUUUCCAAAACCUUUCGAUUCAUUAUUCUUGAUCCCGAACAUAUGGGUUGAGUUGUGAACUUCUUUGGACUUUUUGCAUGUAACUCUUACGCUGAAAUUAGUAUAAGAAUGAUCCUGAAAUUGAAAUUGUUUAAAUGCUUCACUUUUGUUUCAACAAUCUCCAUAUGUGUUUCUCGUUCCUUGAGUUUUGAAAUUUGCAUUUAUUUGUUUGCAACACAUUGAGUCUUUAUCUGAGGUUUCUCUUUCAGUUGAUUAACUCAACCAGUGAUGGAAUAUAGUGGGACGACUAACAUGUCUAUUCAAGCAGUUAUAGAUUUUUUUUCUUUUUUUUCCUUUAUUGUUUAUUGAGUUGAGUGUUUUCAAAAUAUUUCUGUAGCCACUUGGGAUUGAAAGUCCAACGUUAUGCCUGACAUUGGAUAAUUGGACUUCUUUUAUUAGUUUUCCAAACCGUUCAUUUUUUUCAUAUUUGUUCUAUUUGGACAGGAAUUGUAGGUGAGAAAGAUAAUGGAGUUUUGGAGGUGAAUUUGUUUAAUAUUUGUUCUAUUUGGACAGGAAUUGUAUGUGAAAAAGAUAAUGAAGUUUUGGAGGUGAAUUUGUUAAUUCCAGUGAAAACGACGAAGAACUCUUGAUAAAGUAAUUUUCUUUGUUAUUAUAUUUCUCUACCCAAUCCAGGUGUUGCAUUAAUCCCUUUGCAGCAUACAGAACUGUAACCGAUCUUAAGUUUGUAUGCAACGAUGUUUUUGGAAAUUUUGUGUCACAAACUUAUUAUUAGGAGACUACGACUUCCUUGGUUUUAUCUGAUCAUUCUGGACUUGCUAUCUUCUUCUGUGGGUUUUGGUUAGGUUUCAAUUUUCAGUAAUGUCUGGUAUGUUGACAGUAUUGGAUUUCCUUGUUUGCAUUUCAAAAACUGAACCAAUCUCAAGGCAUUACGCUUCUAUAGUUGGAGUAGUAUGAGACAACUUUGUUUCUCUGAAAUUUAGAGAGUCUCUUUAAUAUUGCAUGGUAAUUUUUUUAUACGAUGUACAAGUAUAUCCAGUUUUAUUUGGAUAUUUUUUAGCAACAAUGCUUUUGGAAUAGGAUUUGUUUGAGCGCUACCAUGAGAAAGUUCAAUUUGAAACGACAACCACUCAUAAUAGCCUAAUUUCUUCUAUAUGAGGUUUCCCCUUUUAUUUAACUUCUAAGGAAUUGAUUACCAACAUUAGGAUUGAAUUGUGAUUUGUUUUUCUACAGUGGUUUAUGAUUGUAUUCAAACAAUGUUUGGAUCUCAUCGAACCUUUAAUGAGUUGAUUUCUGAGUUUAAGAAUUCGUCUAAUAUUUUCUAAAAUUCCUCCCAUGGAACAAGUGUUUUAAGUUUUCUUGAAUUUUUUCUAUUUACCGGUAAGACAAGCAAUGGAUGUGUGAGGACAUGUAGAAACAUGCGGAUCAAUUAAAGCCUUAGUUUGUGUUAAUUCGUGACUAGCUAUUUGAAUGCAGUUUUUUAUGUGGUGACAAAGAUCUAUCAAAAUAAAAAAAUUGGUUUAGGAUUUCCUCUCUAUUUGAUAUUUUCAGAUUUGAUCACCAAAUAUAAGGAUUUUCCGUUACCAUUUGUUUUUCUGCAGUGAUGUUUGCAUUAUGUUUCAUGCUACGUCUAAUGGAUCAUGUUGUCUGGAAGGUUUUAUGGCUCUUGGUAACAGGCUUUACAAGUGCUUCAGAGGAUCAGUAGUUUCAGAGCUGAUACCUAUUAUCAUAAUUGUGUCUCGCAGUGUGAAUUGUUCAAGUUUAUUUAUUUGCAAAAGGGAUCAGUUCUCCAAUAAUUUUUGCAGAAGAUUGGAUGGCUAACAUUAUUGUUCGUUCAUUUGAUCCAGUAAGAGCUCAUUCUAGAAAUGUGGACUUCUCUUUAAAAGCCUUUAGUAUGUUUACUAUCUUCAAAAGAUAUUUUUUCUGGAUCUAUUGUUUUGACAGAGCAGGUCUUCGAGGAAGUCACGGGUCUCUUAGAUUUGGAAUUGUUCAAGUACCAUCAACAUGAUUUCAUGAUCUCUUAUGAUUUCCCCUGAAUUUUUGGUUGUUGUUUUGACAGGGUAGGGUUUGGGUAGAGUUUGGGUUUUUGGAUUAGGAAUUGUCCAACUACCAACAAUGUGUAAACCCUAAACCCUAAACCCUAAAUAUAUAUAUAUAUAUAUAUUUUUGCUAGUUUUAUUUUUCAUUGAAUUACUUAAUUGCUUUAUUAAUAUGAUCAUUUGAUUAUAAAAUUAUUCUUGGUAGUUAUAUAAUUAUUCAUGGUUGUUUUAUUACCUUUAAUAGUUAUUGUUGUUGGAAAAGUAAUCUAGAAGUCCUUUGUUGGCUAAUGAUUCUCUAACAUUUUUUUUUUAAAUUUCAUAGUAGUUGUAUUUUGCUUUGACAAUUUAGUUUAGUUUUUUUAUUGAUUCCUGCAUCGACAAAUGAAUUUUGAACUUGUUCUUGCAUAAUUUAUCAUGGGAUAAAAUGAAUUGGUGGUGUAGGUUUGGAAAACAGUGGAUCUGGACCCUGUGGAACUUUGGUUUUAUUCUGUGUUUAUUAUUUUCUUUGAUGCUAUUAUGCACGGAUAAACUUGUGGACUGGGAAUGCUUACCUCUUUAUGACAGGCAUUGUAAACGUCUGUGUCAGCCAUUUAAUUUUCUCUUUCUAGUUCACACUCAGACAUUUCUUUCAGCAACUGAGUCAUUUAAUCGCAAAGAGAGUUUUGUUUCCUUUCAUGUUCUUUGUUGUCAAUACAACCUUUGUUUCUUUCUUAUCAGCUAUAGUAUUUAAUUCAAUGCGAUCUCAGGAUGUGUUACUUGGAAGUGAUGUGGUUAUUCAUUCGAGGAUUGAUGUGUUAUUUGGAAGUGAGGUGAGGCUAUCUGAAUACCGGAAGGAGAUCCAUUCUCUUUGAUGACAGAUGCCUACUUGAGUUUGGAUGUAGUUAUUUAUUUGAUGACAGAGAUCUAUCAUAUGUAACUUUCUGUUAGUUCCUUUUCAACAGGGGAUUCUGGUUGAGGAUUAAAAAACAUAAAUUUGAAUAUUGUUUUUGUCUAAUUAUUGAAAUAUGACAAAUCUAGCGGUUUGAUAUGUGAAUAUGUUGAUUCUUUUUCAGCAAAUCAUAGGUUAGUAACAAUAAAAUGCUCAGGGAAGAUGUCUCCCCUCUAUUUGAAACUUUGUGGAUUGAGCGUAUUUUUCCAGACUGAUAUGUGAGGUAGGAUGUGGAAACACUUACCAGGACAUUUGUGAAGCUUUAGGUUUUGUUACCCUUACCAUUCUUGUGUCUUUAUUUGUGACUGACUAAACUUCUUGUUUGGAUUCUAAGUUUUGGUUGGAUUCAUUGCUAACCUUGUAGUUUGACUGGCAGUCUGGCAAUUCUUGUGGGUUUAGAGGUCGUGUAAUUUGGGGAGGACUUGUCUGGCAGAAUUUUUAACUACUUAUAUGAAGUACUGAAUUAAUAGUGAAAAAAAGAUAAAAAAAAUAUAUCAUGGCUAUUAAAAGUUUAUGUUUCUUGUCCUGUUCAGCCAUGACACUUGUGUGAACACUUGCUUCUUUCUCUAUUGCCCCAUAUGCAUUUUUUUCACAAUUUUUACUCUUUUUUAAGUUAUCCAUUUCUAAGUAAUUUAGGCUUCUCGUAGCUUUUACCAGUCCUGGAUUCAUAGUGAAAUUUGAACCUUUUACAUGGUGCAAUUGAAAUUAAGGAGUGAAUUAUUGAUCUUUAGUUUUACAGUACUGAAUUAAUUUUGGAUUUGCUUUGGUGUAGCAAAUUUGAAAGGUCAUUUUCUUAGUUAUUACUUCAUUUACUAAAUAAUCAAGAGCAUUGGACAAUUUGAUUUUGUAGUGUUUUGUUUGCUGCAUUGACAAAUGAAUCUUGCAUUGUAUUGUUUUUAAUAGUUCUGGAUUACAUUCUGAAUAUGACAUAUGAUGAUCUCUUCUAUCUUCCAAUAUGAGAAUGAUCUGCAACAUUAGAGUUGUAUUUAGUUCUAUCUCCAAAGGGAGAAUGAGAAAUUGAGAGCUCUAUUUAGUUUUAUCUCCAAUUAUCUCUAAUAUGAGAAUGAGAAACAACAGUAGUUGGAAUGUUUUCUGGCAAUCUUCCUGUGCUAUGAUUCAGUUCUCUCUCCAUAUAUGAGAAUAAGAAAAUGAGAAAGAGAAACAAGAUUAUUUGGAAUGUUUUUUGUCGUAAUCUUCUUGCACUAUGAUUCGGUUCUCUCCCAAUAUGCGAAUGAGAAACAACAAUAUUUGGAAAGUUGUCAUAAUCUUCUUGCGUUAUAUGAUUCGGUUCUGUCCCCAAUAUGCGAAUGAGAAGAUGAGAAACAACAGUAUAUGAGAGCUCCAUUUAGUUCUAUCUCCAAAUGAGAAACAACAGUACAUGAGAGUUCUAUUUAGUUUUAUCUCUAAUAUGAUAAAGAAGCGAAACAAAAGUAUUUGGAUUGUUCUCUUUGUAAUCUUCGUGUGCUAUGAGCAACGCCUCCCCUCGAGGCUAUGGUAACGGGUGAUGCCUCUCUAUUCCAACAUGAGAUCUCUAUAUAUUAUGUGGAAGCAGACACCAUCUUUUUGUCGUCUAUAUUUCUCAGCUCUUGCUGAUUUUGCCGUGCUGUUUUCUUGAUUUACCAUGCUUUUUUUUAUCAGCAAAGAAUGAAAUUAAAUUAAGAGGGAUACAAAAGGGGUAUCUCAACUCUUUUACAUAAACCAAACCACAUUAAGAAUCUCCAAGAAUAAAGAGAUGAAUAAACACCACAGAAGCAAUAGAUAGAUAAUGUUUGUUGCAUAAGUUAAACAUCCUAUUUCAGCUAGCACCGUGCUUGUAUUGGAAUGCUAUAAGCACUGCAAACUGCAGCUACAAAACCAUCAAAAUACACCAAAAUUGGUUGUCUCCACCACCUCAUUGACAUUCCUUCUACCCAACUUGCAGUGGCACGAUUGUAGCACUUGUCACAGAAUUAAUCACUUCAAUGCAGCAUCUUCCAUUCACUCCUUUUUGGACUUUGGCUUCUCCUUGUUUGCUCCUUUCAAGCUCACUUUUAACAGAAACCAAGUUCCUACUUGCCAAGGUCUAUCUCGCACUUAGAUUGGUUGGAGUUUACAACUUCGAGUUACAUCCCCCAACAUGUCUGAAUCCCCACCACAACCUCUACUGCUACCAUCUACAUGUGAGACCACUAGUUGAUCAGCAAACACACUUAGGGAUUUCCACAACAACCAAAACACCACAUAAAAAAACACAGUUUUUGUUUCCUGCAUAAAGAACCCUGAACCAGCAUACACCUUGCCUCUAUUGGUCUGUUAUAAGACACAUCAAAACAGAAUCUUUCAUCAUGUCCUUAACAUUCCUUUUGACUCCCUUGCAUACAAGCACAUAUGUCCUUUCCAUCUUGCACUAGCUGCAGGCCGUGACAAACCCACCAACACCUCCAACCAACUAUAAAUCCAGUAUAGGUCGUAGUCUUAAAACUCUUGGCACCUGGGAGUACUAAUUAUAACUUCUAAUGCAAAGCAUUGGAUUAAGAAUCCAGUCUACGAAAGAAUAAGUAAAGAAAUGCACCUUGUGUUUCAUCCAAAGCCAGGAUUUGAGUUGAGCCUUCUGAAACACCUCCUCCGCAUCUACUAGCCCUUUUUUGAAUACAAUCAGGUUCCUUUGGUCCCAGAUACACCUAAUAACAGAUGCCCAAACACCUUUCCAUACCAGGUUUUGCUUCUUACUAGCAUUGCUCAGAUAAAAACUCAUAAAGUGCAUAAUUAAAUCAUUUUGUUGAACAGAAGAGAUACCUAUCCAUUUGAAGCACAAGGACCAUACCCAUUGUGCGUAUUUACACUCCAAGAAGAUAUGUUGACAAGACUCCUCCUUAAGCUGACACAUUGCACAUAACGUAGAUUCCAUCAUUACCCCUCUCCUACUCAAACUCACCCUUGUUGGGAUUCUAUCCAACAACACUCUCCAAGCUGUCACGAUCACAUUUGGGAAUGCCUUAGUCUUCCAAAGGAGAUUAAACACAUCGGAUUGGGUUCCACGAGACUGCUUGGCAAGGCACUCAUAAGCAGAAUUCACAGAAAAAAAAGGGCUGGUUCUUCCUUCCCCCACACCUGCACAUCCACGUCAUUCCUUCUCAUUAGUGCCCCUGAUAACAGUGUAAAGAGGUCUGCUUCCAGUGAUGAUUCCCACUCAAAUCUGGCACGCCUCCAUGUCAGCCUCCAUCUCCAAUCCGAAUUAAUCCACACGCCAACUUCACCCACCGUUUGCCCCUGUUUUAAGGAUAGGGAGAACAGUCUUGGAAACAAGGAUUUGAGAUCAGAGCUCCCAACCCACACCUCCUCCCAUAACUUUACUUUGUCUCCACACCCUAGUUUUCAGCUUAGUUCUUCUUGAAACCAUCAUUUUCCUCCUCCCUCCUUGCACACUUUAAAGAGAUCUUUCCACCACCAAGAUUUUCAGCUUAGUUCUUCUUGAAACCAUCAUUAGUCCAAUUUUAAUACAUGAUAUGACAAAUGGAUUGAAUUAUGAUAUUGUCUCCUUGAAGCUUGAAUUUAUGAUCGUGUCUCUGUGCGCUGUGAUCUUAGUCACAUUGGUGGUAUAGACAAAUUGAAAAGAAGGAUCUUGGAGUCAUUCCUUUCAUUUUAGUAGUGGUAAUUACCAAGAGCUCAAGACUAUUUGACUUCAAUUUUUUCAUUACAAAACUUUAUUUUGUCUUUAUUAGUUUCUUUCAUUGAGAAAUGAAUUUUGAACUUGGGUUCUUGCAAAGCAUCAAUGUUCUUGCCUAAUUUGUGUUGCAAGAUUAUUGAUCUUUUGUAUUGGAGUUCCAAAAAUUAUAGUCUACUCAAGACUAAUUUCAUGAGUCUUGACUUUGCUAUUCUUAUUCGGAAGGUUUGUACUAUGUAUGUUUUGUCUUUUCUGAUUUAAAGUGUUUUUCCUUGUUUUUAUUUGUGUGGUUCAGACUGAAUAAAUGAGAUACCGAUUUUCUUGUUCUCCUCAUGUUACAUCAACCAUUUUAUUGCUACUUUUAUUCAUUUGCAAAGGCUCAGGAUAAUAUUAUUUCUUCAGAUUUCUAUGUACUUGAUAGUAAAUUUUUAGGUGUUGCAUAGCGCCUGGUAUGACUUUCUCUAUUGGUUUUUCAUUCUUGAAUUUAUGAAUUCAUCUUGUCUAGAUUCUAUACUUCUAUUAAGAGGACCUGGUAUGACUUUCUCUAUUCCUAACAAAAAAAACUUUUGUCCUCAAAAUUACCUAAAAAAAUAAUUAGGAUAUGAUUCACUUGUCUUCUUUUUCAUCUCCCGCAUAUAAGAUCUCACAACACUUUGACCUUUCACAACACUUUGGCCUUGUUUACACUUUCAUUUCAAAAGAUGGAUUUUCUCUUACAUGAAUUAAAUCAAAUUUUGUGUGACUAACUUUCCUUUUGUUGUAUACCAAGUUAACCAUCCAAUCUAUUUUUCCUCAAUCUUAAACACACAAUUUAGGUUAGUCUUAUGUUUUUCAAGCUUCUAGAAUAAUAUUUUUGCAUAAAGGUUAUUGUCAAAAAUGUCUAAGACGAUGUUGAUGUAAUCAAACUUCACGAUCCAUGACUUGACUUGUUAUAAGAACUAUAUAAACAUAUGCAUGAUAUAAAUCAAUAUCAAUAUAGAAAUCUUUCCAUGUUUAUUGGAAAGAUUACCUUUAAUUUUUAAUGGACAUGAUAUGAUACUAACCUUUCUAACUCAUUUUGUUUUUUUUUAACAAUAUUCUUAAAUUCAAAAAAAUGUGUAAUUAUAUUACUCACCUAACUCUAACUCAUUUUGUUUUUUUCUUAACAAUAUUCUCAAAUUAAAAAAGUGUGCAAUUAUAUUACUCACCUAACUGUUGCGUCUCAAAAAAUGUAUUGUAUGUUUCAACACUAGAAUAUUAAUUGUAAAAUUGACUUGCAAUGCGACCAAGUUUGGUAAAAUAAAAGUUAUUUUUUUCAUUGAAAUGCAUCAUUUUUUUCCAACACUAGUCUUUUUAGGACUAAAAGUAGGAUUUGCCAUUGCUUCAUUUCUCCAAAGGAUUCAUCCUCAUCUUUAUAAAAAGAUAAAUAUACUCCAAUCAAGCGUAAACUUCUUUAACAUUAGUUACAUACCUCUUUCACCACUUUUAUCAAACUAAUGUCUUCUUUUUGGUCAAUUAUCCACAUAACAUCAAGCAUACCAUUCAUUUUCAUAUAAAAAUAUUUAGUUUUAUUUGUUUUUAAUAGGUUUAAAUAUUUUUAAAAUUUGAAUCAACCAAUUGCUUCUCUUUCACUUCUUUUAGAAACUUGUUAAGCAUAUGACAAAUAAUAUGAGUUGAAGAUAUAGGAAUUUCUAAAUCCUACAUUCUAAAUUCUAAAUCUUUAAUCAUAGGUGUUGACACUUGUGUCUUCUCAUGAAUUGAAGCAUAUGUAGCAACAUUUCCUAUCUUAGGAUGGUACCUCAACAAAAAAUUGUAAUCUUUCAAAAACUCCAUCAAUUUUCUAUUAUCUACUUUCGUUAUUUGUAGGAUAGGAAACUAAUUGUAUAAUAACACUAUUUCAUUUCGACUUAGCCACGUUCAACUAUUGUAAUUUUCUCCUAAGUCUUUGAAGUUUCACUUCAUGAUAGUAAAAAAUAUAUUUAACCACGUCUCUUUUUAUGUUCAACUAUUAAAAAACUUGUGUAGUACUGAUAUAUAUUAGUUGUGUCUAAUGCAAAUAUAUUUAUUUUAUAAUUUUUAUACUAUAUCAUUUUCUCCAACUUAUUAUUUGUCGAUACACAAACUUUAUCUUGAACCUCAGAAUUUCAUUUACUUUCAUUACGAGAUCCUUAGCUGUUUUUGUACUUAACACUUAAUUAACUUAAGUUUUCGACCAUCACAAUCAACCAAGAUUAUCGAACUUGAUAGUUUAGUAAACUUGUGAAAGGCUUGUAAACUCAACUUGUAGACUCGUAAGAGUCUUGUUCAUAUAAAAUAUUGACAAAAAAAUAUUUAUGAUACCAAUUUCACAUUAUUAAAAUAAAAAAAUUCAUACAACAACAAAUUUAUUAAGACUUUGACUUCUUUUGUUACUGAAACACAAGGUUCAAAAUCAUAUAUCUUCAAAAUCAUAUAUCUUCCCAACAAAAUGAUGUUUGAAUGUGAAAAAUGUCUCCAUUAAAUAAUAAUUAUAUUUCACUUUUUUAUUGUUAUCUAAAACAUAUCUUCGGUGUUUCCAUCCAAUUUACGCAACAUUUUUAUUUCUAGAUGGAAGUGAUAAAGAUGUACCGACACACACUACCAAUUGCAACCAUUUCCCAACAUAAUAAUUAUUUUAACUUUAUUUUUUAACCACACUAAAAAAGACAAAAUCUUGAUAAAAAAUUAAACUAAUUUUUAGAAUUAAGAUAAAAAAUUAUCUUGAUUUAAUCAUGAAUGUGCAUCACUUUUUUUAGAUUUUUUCUUUUUCAAUAAUUUUAUCUUCAUUCAUUAUAAUAUAAACACAAUCUCAAAAUUUUUUUUUGAACUUUCAACUAAAAAACUUUAGUUAUCUUUAAAGUAGACAUAAACAAAUAUAUGCACAUGCAAAAAUAACCCACUACUAUGGAUGACAAAGUCAGGCAGGUCAACUCAUUAAGAAAGAACGCAGCGGAUGUCCUAUUUCAACUUGGGCUGAUUCUCCCUACACCCAAUCAAAUUGGACCUGUACCCAAUUGCAUUUGUGAAAGUACCGAAAUACCCUUAAUGAAAAUGAAAUUAGGGUUUAGUGAUUUCUGCACCCAAUCACACACCCAAGUUCGUUUAUGCCAUCCUCAUACUCAACAUCAUCUCUCGCACGAGCGUCCGCAUCCUCGCACCUUGGUUGGCAUUUCUCUGGCAGUGUAGUGUUGAGUGGAAGGACCCCUUGAACAAAGACGAAGCUAGGAGCGCGAAGGUCGUCCAUUGUUGCGCGAAGGUUUUAGGGCAUCAUAUGCAUCAGCGCACCCUACAAGCUUUUUCAAAAUAAACAUGACAAUGGUACAAUUGGAUUUUAGAAUGUUUUUCGGGUGCCAAUCACAAUUGAUUGGGUGCAGGAAGAAAUUGCUUUCAACUUGUUGACUUGCUUAGGCUCACCUCGCAUAAUCCGCAGUCCGCACGGGCCAAGUACAAGACGGGACAGGCUAACUCACAACCAACAUAUUUUAAAAAAUUAGACAUUUUUUUGCACCCCAUAAUUUUUUUUUUUAGCCUCAUAAUCUCAAAAAAUUUAAACUAUUCAUUCUAAAUUUUAUAAUCAGUAAUACAAAUUUGUAUUAUAAAGUGUACAAUCUAGAAUGUUGUACAAUCUUAAACCAAAUUUUAACUCUUAGAUUCUAUAACCCUAGAAGUCUCUAAAUUUCACAUUCCGAAAUUAAAGAUAAAACAUUCAACAAAAAAUGUCAAAGGAUAAUUAUAAUAUUUUUUGAAGUAUGGGGUGUAGUAAGUAGGGGUGGCAAUGCGGGCUGGCUCGCCCCGCAUUUGAUUCCCAAUGAGUGCGAUUUCAUUUCAAUGACCACCCCGCAUAAGAGGUAACCGACGGGCCUGAGGGCCAAUCCGCAUAAGAAAAAUAUUUAUUUUCAAAAAUUAAAAUUUCAUCAAAUAUAAAAAAAUUUAUUCUUACUAUGGAAAAAUUACAAUUUUAUACAUGUUUCAAUUCGUUCAAUUAAGAUAAAGUUAUAAAUUCAAGUGUGAGGAUUGUUAGAAGGUUUGAUUAAAAUUAACUAAAGUUUUAUUUUUUGCAUAUAUUUUUCCUAUAUAUGUAUGUGAAUGUAUAAGAAUACCUUAUCAAAGUUUUGUUAUAAAAUAUUUUAAUGAAGAUGACUAAUUUUUUUAACUAUCCUAUUUAAAUCUCUUUUUUUAUAUUUUUUUUAUUAACAAAUUUAAAAUAUAAGAUUUACUUAAAAUCAAAUCCAAUGUCACUCUUCAUACUAACUCCAUGGCUCAACUAAAGACCUGGUCCUGGGUAACCUAUAAAAUUCAUUUUGCUUAUUUUUCCUUUUGUGACUGGUGUUUGGAUCCCUGUUUAAUUAAACAUAAGUGUUUUAUUUAGGUUGGUUAGACUCUAUUUGUUCUAGUAGGAAGUUAGUGAUAAACUUCCCAAAUGAGGGUUGUUAGUUUUUGUGUGAUUUUGUACAUGAGUUUGGAUCACUCAUAAAGUGGUUCUUAUUUAUUUAUUUUUAUUGUUGAUAAAAAAAAACUAACUCCUUUAAAUGAUUAAAAUAAAAUAUUUUUUUUAGUAGAUUAAAUUCAAUUUUUUAAAAUAAAAUAAAUAAAUGUUGCACUACAAGGGUGAAUGAGGUAUGAUUUUUUUUUACAAAAAAUAAAAUAAUAUUUUUUCAUUUAUACGGGUCAACCUGCCCCGCUCCGUUAUUGGUCCGCUCUGGGAGUUAUGCGGGGCAGGUCUAAGCAGGUCAGCAGGGUAGAUUAGUGAGCUCGCCCUGCGCCUUUUAGUAGCGGGUUGCGGGCUGACCCGCCCUACAUUGUCAUCCCUGGCAAUAAGAAAGACAUGGAGGUGCAGGAAGAAACUAUCCUCAAUCCCUAGUUCAUAACACCUUCAUGAAAUUUGAUAAUAGUCUUUUUUUCCUUUUUAAAAUGCAUAAAUUUUAUAGGUUUCAAUAUUCAUCAAAUGUUAAAUGCAUUAGUCAGAUUUUGGCCUUUUUAUAAUAAAAUUUAAAUAUAUAAUAAUAUUAUUAUAUAUAUAUAUAUAUAUUAUUUUUUAAAUUAAAAUAAUAAUCAUGUAUCUACAUGUAUUGUCUUUAAAAAUAUAUAUAUUUAAAGAAAUAUUUAUUAGUCAAUUUAUUAUAAUUUUUUUAUCCAUAUUUUAUUACAUAUGUCGUGAGAAUAAUAUUAUGAAACUAUUUACCUAAAUCAUCUAAAUAAGAAAAAAAUUAUUUUAAUAAACAAAACAAAAUUUUAUUCAAAAUUUAUAUUUAAUUUUUUUCAUUAAUUAAAAAAAAUCUUAUGUGGAUCGGCUUGUGGGUUAGCUAGCAUGCGAGGCGGGCCAAUAAAAGCAACCCGUAUAUUUUACGCGGUACGAACCAACGUAGCCUGCAUUUUGUGGGCCAAAUGCGAGGCAAACGGACCUGCAUUGCCAUCCAUACGCACUACCCUCAUGUUAUCCUAAGGUCGAACAACUCUGAUACCAUAAAUGUAACACCCCCAAUAUUUACUAUACACUUAUUACAAAGUUUAUUGUAAUAUAAUUUUAUUACAAUAAACGUAUUCAAGAACUACAUAAACCAUACAUGGAUUUAUAUAUCAAGGAUAUUUAAUCCAUUUCUGCUCAGGCUAAAAUAUUCCCGCUCAAGUUGACAAAAACUUCUUUCUUUUAUUUUAUUUUUCUUCUUGUCUCAUCAAUGAAUUGGAUUCUUUAGCAAAAAACUUUGCUUGAACAAAAAUAGUGCUAAAAACAAGUUUGAGUGCUUGGUUAUUUUCGCUUGAGCAAAAAUUGGCUUGCUUGAGAAAAAUAUCAAAAAAAUCAACUAUUACAAUAAUACAUAGUCAUUUUUAAAGUUGUACCUUAAAAGCAAUUCAAACUCAAACAUUAAAAAUAUGUUCAACAACACACAACAUCAAAUAGAACAUCAAGUGAUCACAUCACUCUUUAAUUUAGGUUAUUCUGCUAAGGCUCUACCAAAAAUAUAAUUAUUUUUUCUUAUGUGAAAUUCCUUAUUUCAAGAAAAAAAAUCUACCUCAAACAAAAGAACCACUCAAAAUUUAAAGCUCUAAAGCAAAAUAUCCAAACUUAAUUAAAUUUUAAUAUAAGGUUAAUCAAGUUGAUGAUCGCUUUUGACAACUAAUUUUACCAAGAUGGAUGACAAAAUUAGAAGAAAAUAAAAAAAAUAGAGAAUAUUUAGGAUAAAUAAGAACUUAUCCUGUUUUGAAAAUCUAAUUGGAUAAAAAUGAUUUCUAACUCUUUAGCUAUUGUAGGGUGUGAUGAAAAUUUGAAAUAAAUGAAGUGUAAAAAAAGAAAAGUAUAAAGAAAAGGAAAGAAGAAAGAAAAGAAAAAAAAAGAAUAUUAGGAUAUAAUUUCUUAUCUUCUCUUCCAUAUUUGAAGUGGAAUUAUCGUAUAUGAAAUGUUAAAAAAAUGACUACAUUUAUAUUUCUAUUAUGAAAUUGUUUUAUUUGAAAAUAUAUUUUCUUUUACUUACACUGAAUUAUAUUCUAAAUUAUAAUUGAAUUGUGUAUAUAUUUGUUAGUUGCAAUAAAUAAAAAAUAUUAUAAUAAAAGAGAUCAAACAUCUUAUUAAUUUUUAUGUAAUAGAAACUAUUCUCUUUGAAAAUAUGGAAAUAAGAAAGAAAGUGGAGGCAUGAAAGGGAUUUACUUACAAUUAUUCUCAACAACAAAAUAUUUUAUCAUUCAAAAAUUACAUUAUUUAGAAAAAAGAUUAGGAUAUAAUUUUUUUUAUAUUCUCUUUCAUUUAUGAGAUGAAGUGGAAUUAUCGUAUAUAAAAUCUUAAAAAGCUGACUAUAUUUAUAUUUUUAUCAAAUAAGAAUUAAAAAACAGACUUUCCUUAAAAAAUAUAUUUUUCUUUUACUGAAUUAUAUUCUAAAUUAUAAUUAAAUUGUGUAUAUAUUUUUGUAGUUGCAAUAAAUAAAAAAUAUUAUGAGUGUUGACUAAUAGAGAGAUAAAACAAAUUCUUAUUAAUUUUUAUAUUAAAUUGUCUUUUCUACACUCUAAGAAAAACAUACUUACUAAAGUAUGAAGUUAAAGUUGUUCUUAUUUCAUCUGUAUAAAUUUUUUGCCGACUAAAACUGUUUUGAACUUUCACUACAAUUUUGAAAUUUGGAUUUACAAUUAAUAAUAACAGAUGAAAAUUUAUUAAAAGAUCACCAUUAUUUAAAAAUAAAAAUUAUUUGUUUUAAAAUAUAAAAAAAUCGAUUGAACUUAUAAUAUAUAACUAUUUAUAUUAAAAGUUUUUUUUUUCUGUAAAUUAUUUUUAGAAAUUAUGCUAUUAAUUAUUGGUGAGAUCAUAGACUUUUUCCCUUAAAAAAAUCAAAAUAAAACAUUAAGUGUGGAUGACAAUAACUUUUGUACAGCUACAUUAUAUAAUAUUAAUAGCUUUCCUUGACAAUUUGAUUAUUACCCAUCGCAUAUAACUUUAGUUUUAUUAAUCAAACUAUUUAUUUAUGACUUAAUUUAAAUAAACAUUCUCAUGAAAAAAAAUUAAUAUUAAAGUUAUAGUAUCUAAAAUAAUGUUUAGAGAAUCACGGUCUAAAGAAAACUAUAUUUUCAAUUUUCUUUUACCAUGUCAAUCGAAUAAAUUAAUUAAUUAAGUCUUCUAUUAAACUAAUAAAAUUCUAUAUAGAAAAAUUAUAAAUUAUUUAUUUAAAAUUUACAUAUCUUCUCACAUUAAAAUAUGUGAACAAUUUAUUUUAUUAUAAUUGAUUCACAUAAGCUAAAUAAUAAUAAUAAAAGUUAAGAAAAAAUGUAACUAUAUUUAAAUUUCCAUACAUAAUAUACUAAUAAACUAUUUAUUAUAUUAUAUAUUUUCCCGUUAAGUGAGUUGGCGCCCAAAAUCCUCUCUCAAUAUAAAGACAGUAACAGUGAACUAAAGAAACACAACAGAACUAAAUUUCUAAUUUUCUCUCCCUUCGAUUACGAGUUCAAGCGACUCGAGAACAUUCGCCGCAACGUUGAGGUGAUGGCAGCGCUCAAACUCCAUUCUAAAGCCACCCACAACUCUCCAAAGGUACUCUUCUCUCUUCUGUAACUUACCAUUUUUUUGGAAAUCUCCAGAGUUUCUCCAGAGGUGAAACUGAAACCCCGAUUGAAAUAUUAUGUUUUGGUCAAUAUCCAAGAUCAGUUUUGUUGGUAUUGCUUUGGUGAUUUUGUUUUGUUGGUGUUGCUUUGGUUAUUGUCGUGAUUCUCUAUAAGGAUUUGUGGAAUUACAUGAUGUUUUCGUCAUGGGAUAGAAGAGUUAUUAAGAAUUAUUAGCAAGUGAUCAAUGUGCUUUUAUCGGAUUGUGAUUCAUUUACGCCGAAUGUGAUUCUUUGUGAUGAUGGCGAGUUUUAAAUCUUUUGAUCAAAUCUUUUUUGUCUAUGGAUGAAAUGAAAAACAUAAUAGUUCAGAAAGGCCAAUUGAUCCAAGUCUUCUUUUAAUCUCCUUUCUAUUAUUUAAUUUAUAUGGUAUUGAUCACCGAAAAUAAGGAUUGGAUUAUGAUUUGUUUAUUAGUGUUUAUCUGCAUCUGCAUCUUUAUCAUUUUUCUACACUUCUUUUUAGUAAGAGCUUAUUUCGUUUUCUUGAAUUUUUGGCUGUACAGCUAAUUCGUUUCUUGAAUUUUUGGGCUGUAUAGGGAAGGCACGCAAUGGAUGUGUGGUGUAGUGUAAGACAUGAUGUGAAGUAUUAUGUUUUGUUACCCUAAUUUCAGUCUGCUUGAUCUCCAAGGAUUGAAUGGUGUUCCAUGUUGAAUUUUUUCUACUUGAUUUCCAAGGAUUGAAUUGUGUUUGAUGUUUGAAUUAUUUUCACUUAAUGUCCUGCAGUAUCUCAUGGAGUAUGUUAUAUAAGGCCUAAGGGUUGAAUCAUCUUUUAAUUUCUUCUAUGUGUUGAACUGGAGUUGAUCACCGAACAUUAAGAUUUUAAUUGUGAUUUGUUUCUCUGCAGCAGGGUUUUGUUUAGUUUUGUGUGAUGACCUGUAUCUCAUCGUGCCUGUUAUGAGCAACUAAGGCUCCACCGGUUUUGAAUUCAUUAAUUUAUCUUAUCCUUUCUUAAAUUCUUCCCAUGAUGUGUCGAGCCUAUAAGUGGCUCCCUUGGUUUUGAAUUUGUGGCCUCCCUUGGUUUUGAAAUUUUGAAUUUACCUUAACCUUUCUAUACUAUGUCAUGUCAUCUCUUUAAAAGAGAAUAGUUUUCUCGAAUCUCCAUGAUUCUUGUUCAGCUUUUAUUGGAAGGCAAUAUAUAUGUGGGCAGGUUUCAGAAACAGUAAAUGGAGGUCGUGUGAAACUUUAGGUUUUUAUUAUCUUUGCGGUUAUUCUUUUGGCUAAACUUGUGGAGUGGGGUUCUUGUAGACAGGCACUAUAUGACUAUGAGAGGCUUUGACAUUUGUGUUUGUGUCUUCGACUUUGAUUAUCUUCUUCUACGUGUUGCAGUGUCUUUCUACAUGUUGCACUGACUUGCUAUGGAUGUCUGUUGGAUUGUGGAGACAAUUGCGGUAGAUUAUUGGACUUACUGUGAAGCUUUAGGUUUUAUUAUGUUUUCAUUCACUAUCUUAUGUGCUUGAUUUGAAAUGGCUGUAUUCUCUCUUAUUGGUUGAAUAGUAGGAAGCUACACGUGUCAGUCACUGUGUGUCUAAGCUAGGGCGAUUCUUAAUUAUGCUUAUCCUUUAUCUCAUGAUCCCAACUAUCUUCCAAAAUGAGAAUGUUCUCCAUAAUGACAGUAAUAUUUAGUUAUAUUUCCAAUAUGAGAAUGAAAAACUAUCUCUCAAAGCUAUGAGAGACCAAUUCCAAAAGGAAAGCUCCAACAUGAGAGCUCUAUUUACUUCUUUCGGGUUGGGGUCUCAGUAUUUGUGAUAGGAUAUGGAAGCAGACUGUAUCUUAUUUCUAACUAUAUUUCUCAAUCUUAGUCCCUUGCUGAUUUUGGUCUUUAUUAUUUAAUGUUUUUGGACUUGAUCACUUAACAUAUGGGCUGAAUUGUUGUUUAUCUACAAUAGUAUUUCAAAGUAUUUUUGUAAUCUUCUUCGUGCUCUUGGUUUUGAAUGGUGGCUUCCCUUGAUAUUUUAGAUUAGUGAAUUUAUCUUAUUGUUUCUUUACUUUGUCAUGUCAUCUUUUUAAGAAGAUUAGUUUUCUCAAAUCGCCAUGAGUCUUACUUGAGCUUUGUCACGAGUCUUAUUGAACUUUGCCACGAGAAUUCUUGAGCUUUGCAACGAGUAUUCUUGACCUUUUACAUGAAGGAUGCAACGGUCAGGUUUUGGAAAUAGUGGAUGGAGAUACAUUUAAACUUAGGUUUUAUUAUCUUUGCAUUUAUUAUGCUGAUAAAAAAACAUCUUUGCAUUCAUUAUUUUCUUUGUUGUUAUUCUUUUUGCUACUCUUGUGGAGUCGGAGUUCUUGUAAUUGGCCAUUUUACUUGUGUUGUAGUGAACUUUGAGCUUCGCCAUGAGUCUUCUUGACCUUUGCCAUGAGUCUUAUUGAGCUUUGCCACGUGUUUUCUUGAGCUUUGCCAUAAGACUUCUUGAGCUUUGCCAUGAGUCUUAUUGAGCUUUGCCACGUGUUUUCUUGUGCUUUGCCAUAAGACUUCUUGAGCUUUUCCAUGAGUCUUCUUGAGCUUUGCCAUGAGACUUCUUCAGCUUUGCCAUCAGUCUUCUUGUGCUUUGCCACGAGUUGUUCUUGUGCUUUGCCAUCAGGAGUCUUCUUGAGCUUUGCCAUGAGACUUAUUGAGCUUUGCCAUGAGUCUUCGUGAGCUGCCAUGAGUCUUCUUGAGCUUUGCCACGAGUCUUGUUGUGCUUUGCCAUGAGACUUCUUGAGCUUUGCCAUGAGUCUUGUUGUGCUUUGCCAUGAGACUUCUUGAUCUUUGCCAUGAGUCUUGUUCAGCUUUGCCACGAGUCUUCGUGAGCUUUGCCAUGAGUCUUCUUGAGCUUUGCCAUGAGUCUUCUUGUGCUUUGCCAUAAGUCUUCUUGAGCUUUGCCACGAAUCUUCUUGAGCUUUGAGCUUUGCCACGAAUCUUCUUGAGCUUUUACAUGAAGGAUGUAGGGUUCAGGUUUUGGAAACAGCGGAUGGAGUUACAGUUAAAGUUUAGGUUUUAUUAUCUUUGCAUUCAUUAUGCUGAUAAAAAAAAUCUUUGCAUUCAUUAUUUUCUUUGUUGUUAUUCUUUUUGCUACUCUUGUGGAGUGGGAGUUCUUGUAAUUGGGCCUUUGACUUUGAUGAUUUGAUUAUCUUCUAGUUGUGUUGUAGUGAACUUUGAGCUUUGCCAUGAGUCUUCUUGAGCUUUGCCAUGAGUCUUCUUGAGCUUUUCCAUGAGACUUGUUGAGCUUUGCCUUGAGACUUGAUGAGCUUUGCCAUGAGUCUUCUUGAGCUUUUACAUGAAGGAUGUAGGGGUCAGGUUUUGGAAACAGCGGAUGGAGAUACAGUUAAAGUUUAGGUUUUAUUAUAUCUGCAUUUAUUAUGCUGAUAAAAAAAUUCUUUGCAUUCAUUAUUUUCUUUGCUGUUAUUCUUUUUCUACUCUUGUGGAGUGGGAGUUCUUGUAAUUGUGCCUUUGACUUUGAUGAUCUGAUUAUCUUUUUCUACUUGUGUUGCAAUGAACACUUACCAUGGAUGUUUGUUGGACAUAUUGUGAAGCUUCGGGUUUUAUUACUUUUCUACUCACUAUUUUUCUUAUGUGCUCGAUAUGGAAUGUCUAAAGUUUUUCUUAUUGGCUGGAUAGUUGGAAGGUAUUGUAUGUAUCAAAGCAAGAGCGAUACGUCUAGGUCCUCCAUCAUGUACCCUUAUUGAUUAUAGUUUUCUUGAAUUCAUUGGCCUUACACGAAAGCUAAGCAAUGAAGUGUGGUGUAGGAUGUAAAAAUGGUGGGUGGAAAUUCUUUGAUCGGUGAAGCUAAAUCUUUUUUUCACCAGGACAUUGUUGUGUUCAUCUGAAUUAAUUUUUAACUGGCUCAACUUGUGGGUUUGAUUAUAAUCUUGGUUGUAACUUGUUGGUUUGAUUAUAAUCUUGGUUGUAUUUUGAUAAUGUAUGGUUCUAAGAGGAAUUGUGGGAUGAGCAUGAAACAAGUGCGGUUGGGCUUUACUCUUUGAUUUGAUGGUUUGCUUCUUGGUUUGAGAAGUUCUUUCUACUAUUUAAUUUUGAUGACUUCUCUGCAUAAUUCUAUAAUAUAGGUCUUUUGUUCUAUAUAGGUCUUUUGUUCUUUUAAUAGUUUUCCAAAACCUUUCGAUUCAUUAUUCUUGAUCCCAAACUUAUGGGUUGAGUGAACUUCUUUGGAAUUUUUGCACGCUGAAAUUUUUGAAAUUAGUAUAAGAAUGAUCCUGAAAUUGAAAUUAUUUAAAUGCUUCAGUUUUGUUUCAGCAAUCUUCAUAUGUGUUUCUCGUUCCUCGAUUUUUGAAAUUUGCAUUUAUUUGUUUGCAACACAUUGAGUCUUUAUCUGAGGUUUUUCUUUCAGUUUAUUAACUCAACCAGUGAUGGAAUAUAGUGGGACGACUAACAUGUCUAAUCAACCAGUUAUAGAUUUUUUUUCUUUUUUUUCUUUAUUGUUUAUUGAGUUCAGUGUUUUCAAAAUAUUUCUGUAAGCACUUGGGAUUGAAAGUCCAACGUUAUGCCUGACAUUAGAUAAUUGGACUUCUUUUAUUAGUUAUCCAAAUGAAUUUGUUUCAUAUUUGUUCUAUUUGGACAGGAAUUGUAUGAAGAAAGAUAAUGGAGUUUUGGAGGUAAAUUUGUUUCAUAUUUGUUCUAUUUGGACAGGAAUUGUAUGCGAGAAAGAUUAUGAAGUUUUGGAGGUGAAUUUGUUAAUUCCAGUCAAAACGACGAAGAAAUCUUGAUAAAGUAGUUGUCCUUGUUAUUCUAUUUCUCUACCCAAUCCAGGUGUUGCAUUAAUCCCUUUUCAGCAUACAGAACUGUGAUCGAUCUUAAGUUUGUAUGCAACGACGUUUUUGAAAAUUUUGUGUCACAGACUUAUUAUUAGGACUUAUUACCUUGAUUUUAUCUGAUCAUUUUGGACUUGGUAUCCUCUUUUGUGGGUUUUGGUUUGGUUUCAAUUUUCAGUAAUGUCUGAUAAGUUGGCAGUAUUGGAUUUCCUUGUUUGCAUAUCAGAAACUGAACCAAUCUCAAGGCAUUAAGUUUUUAUAGUUGGAGUAGUAUGAGACAACUUUGUUUCUCUGAAAUUUAGAUAGUCUGUUUAAUAUUGCAUGGUAGGUUUUUUAUACUAUGUACAAGUAUAUCCAGUUUUAUUUGGAUAUUUUUUAGGAACAAUGCUUUUGGAAUAGGAUUGUUUGAGUGCUACCAUGGGAAAGUUCAACUUGAAACGACAACAACUCAUAAUAGCCUAAUUUCUUCUCUAUGAGGUUUCACCAUUUAUUUUACUUCUAAGGACUUGAGCACCAACAUUAGGAUUGAAUUGUGAUUUGUUUUUCUACAGUGGUUUAUGAUUGGAUUCAAUCAAUGUCUGGAUCUCAUCGAGCCUUUAAUGAGAUUGUUUCUGAGUUUAAGAAAACGUCUAAUAUUUUCUAAAAUUCCUCCCUUGGAACAAGUGUUUUUAGUUUUCUUGAAUUUUUGCUCUUUAUAGGUAAGACAAGCAAAGGAUGUGAGGACAUGUAGAAACAUGGGGAUCAAUUGAAGCCUUAGUUUGUGUUAAUUCGUGACUAGUUAUUUGAGUGCAGUUUUUUUAUUUGGUGACAAAGAUCUAUCAAAAUAAAAAAAUUAGUUUAAGAUUUCCUCUCUAUUUGAUAUUUUCAGAUUUGAUCACCAAAUGUAAGGAUUUUCUGUCGUCAUUUGUUUUUCUACAGUGAUGUUUGCAUUAUGUUUCAUGCUACGUCUAAUGGAUCAUGUUAUCUGGAAGUUUUUAUGGCUCUUGGUAACAGGCUUUACAAGGGUUUUCAGAGGAUCAGUAAUUUUAGAGGUGAUACCUAUUAUCAUAAUUGUGUGUUGCAGUGUGAAUUGUUCAAGUUUAUUCAUCUGCAAAAGGAAUCAGUUCUUCAUUCAUCUUUGCAGAAGAUUAGAUGGCUUGUUCAAGUUUAUUCAUUUGCAAAAGGGAUCAGUUCUUCAUUCAUCUUUGAAGAAGAUUAGAUGGCUAACUUUAUUGUCCGUUCAUUUGAUCCAGUAAGAGCCCAUUCUAGAAAUGUGGACUUCUCUUUUUUGUUCAUUUUUAGAUUUGGAAUUGUUUAAGUACCAACAACAUGAUUUCAUGGUCUCUUAUGAUUUCUCCUGAAUUCUUAGUUGUUGUCCUACUACCAACCAUGUGUGUAAAAGUUUGAAAUAUACGUUGUGGAUAUUUUCUAGGGAUAUAUAUAUAUAUAUAUAUAUAUAUAUAUAUAUAUUUAGUUGCUAGUUUUAUUUUUGAUUGAAUUACAUAAAUGAUUUAUUAAUAUGAUUAUUUGAUUAUAUCAGAGUUGUAGUGCUUUUUAUAAAAUUGUUCUUGGUAGUUAUGUAAUUGUUCAUGGUUGUUUUAUUACCUUUAAUAGUUAUUGUUUUUGGAAAAAUAAUCUAGAAGUCCUUUGUUGGCUUUUGAUUCUCUAACAUUUUUUUUUUAAUUUUAUAGUAGUUGUAUAUUGCUUUGACAAUUUAGUUUAGUUUUUUUAAUUGACUCUGAUUGUUAAUUAAAUAUUUAUUUACAUUAGAAUGUUGAUGAUGUAAAUGAUUUCUUUUAAUGUUGAUUAUGAUUCUAUUUUAUAAAAUAUUGUGUUAUGGUAAUCAUUAAUUAAUUGCUUUGUAUGCACUCAUUUAUCAUAUUGUUGUAUGACAAAUCUUAAAGCUCCCUAAGAGAAAGGUUCAUGGGUUGCUGUGUGGAAAGUUCUAAAACACGCUCAAUAUAGUAAAUUAUGGAUCAUGUGCUUUUACGGAAGAAUUAUUAAUAAAUUGAAGUACAUGAAUUCUUAGUAUAAUUCUCUAGUUGAUGAUGACGAGUUUUUAACCUUUCGCUUAAAUUUCUUUGCACCUUUUAAGCUUAUGGCUGGUUCACUGAUAUUUCUUUUGCCUUUGGAUGAUAUGAAAACCCCAACAGCCAAGGGCUAAGCAUAACGGAAGUCUUUUGAGUUUCCCUUUUAUUAUUUUUUUUUCUGGUAUUGAUGACCGAACAUAAGGAUUGAACUAUGAUGUGUUUAUCUGCAGUGGUGUUCGGAUUAGUUGGGUAUAUUCGCAUUAUCAAGUUUCUAUACUUCCUCUUAGCAAGAGCGGUUAUUGUUUCCUUCAAUUUUUUGACUGUAAAGGGUUUAUCGUUUCCUUCAAUAAAAUUUGAUAUUCGUGUUCAUUCCUUUUCAGCAAGUCAAGAGUCUCUGAGAUUUCUUUUGGCGGUUGAGGAACAAGAUGGUUUUACAGGAUAUUCUAAUUUCUCUAUACUUGAUCACCAACAUUGAAUAGUGAUUUGUUCUUAUGCAGUAAACAUAAAGAUUUAUUUUUGAUUUGUUUCUCUACAGCAAUGUUUUGAUUUUUUCGUAUCUAAUAGUUCUUUAUUACUAGUUAUAGUUCUGUUAAUUUCUCUAGCAAGAGCUCAGGACUAUUUGGAUUCAAUUUUUUUAUAACAAAACUUUAUUUUGUCUUUAAUAGUUUCCUUCAUUGACAAAUAAAUUUUGAACUCGGUUCUAGCAAAGCAUCAAUGUCUUUGCCUAAUUUGUGUUUCAAGAUUAUUGAUCUUUCGUAUUGAAGUUCUGAAAAUUAUAUUUUUUUCUUAGGUGGAGAAGUAUUGAAAAGAUGGAUCUUGAAGUUAUUCCUUUCAUUUUAGUAGUGUAACUAGCAAGAGCUCAAGAUUAUUUGCCGCCAUUCUUUGAUUACAGAAGUUUUUAUUUUGUUUGUUUCUUGCAUUGACAAAUGAAUUUUGAACUUGUUCUUGGAUAAUUUAUCUUUGGGAGAAAAUGAAUUGGUGGUGUAGGUUUGGGAAACAGUGGAUCAGGACACCCUGUGGAAAUUUAGGUUUUAUUAUGUGUUUAUUAUUUUCUUUGCUGCUAUUAUUCAUGGAUAAACUUGUGGAUUGGGAAUGCUUACCUCUUUAUGACAGGCACCGUAAAUGUCUGUGUCAGCCAUUUAAUUUUCUCUUUCUAGUCCACAGACAUUUCUUUCAGCAACUGAGUCAUUUAAUCGCAAAGAGAGUUUUGUUGCCUUUCAUGUUCUUUGUUGUCAAAACAACCUUGUUUCUUUUUUAUCAGCUAUAGUAUUUAGUUUCACUGCGAUCUCGGGAUGUGUUAUUUGGAAGUGAUGUGGUUACUCAUUUAAGGAUUGACGUGUUAUUUGGAAGUGAGGUGGUUAUUCAUUCGAGGAUUGAAUUCCAUUCCCUUUGACUUGCAUUGUUUGUGUUCAUUGCUAUCAAACAACUUUCUUCAUUUUAAAUGUAUGGAGUCUAUUUUUUUAAGAUGAAAUCCCCACUAAAUGUUUAUGUUUUAUUUUUUCUUUCUUUUUCAUCAUCUCCUAGUUAUUUGUGUUUCUCAUAGGCUUGGUCUCAUCCCUUCGACUUGCAUAUGUUUGUGUUCAUUGCUAUUGAACAACUUUCUUUUUUGCCAUUAGUCUUCUGGAGCUUUGCCAUGAGACUUCUUGAGUUUUGCCGUGAGACUUCUUGAGUUUUGCCGUGAGACUUCUUGAGCUUUGUCACAAGUCUUCUUGAGCUUUGCCACGAGUCUUCUUGAGCUCUGCCAUGAGUCUUCUUGAGCUCGGCAAUGAGUUUUCUUGAGCUUUGUCGUGAAGAAUGUAGGGGUCAGGUUUUGGAAACCGUGGAUGGAGAUGCAGUUAAAGUUUCGGUUUUAUUAUCUUUGCAUUUAUUAUGCUGAUAAAAAAAAUCUUUGCAUUCAUUAUUUUCUUUUUUGAUAUUCUUUUUGCUACUCUGGUGGAGUGGGAGUUCUUGUAAUUGGACCUUUGACUUUGAUGAUUUGAUUAUCUUCUACUUGUGUUGUAGAGAAUUUUGAGCUUUGCCAUUAGUCUUCUUGAGCUUUGCCAUGAGUCUUCUUGAUCUCUGCCUUGAGCCUUCUUGAACUCUGCCAUGAGUCUUCUUGAGCUUUGCCAUGAAUCUUCUUGAGCUUUGUCAUGAAUCUUCUUGAGCUUUUACAUGAAGGAUGUAGGGGUCAGGUUUUGGAAAUAGUGGAUGGAGAUACAGUUAAAGUUUAGGUUUUAUUAUCUUUGCAUUUAUUAUGCUGAUAAAAAAAAUCUUUGCAUUCAUUAUUUUCUUUGCUCCUAUUCUUUUUGCUACUCUUGUGGAGUGGGAGUUUUUGUAAUUGGGCCUUUGACUUUGAUGAUCUGAUUAUCUUCUUCUACUUGUGUUGCAAUGAACACUUACCAUGGAUGUUUGUUGGACAUAUUGUGAAGCUUCAGGUUUUAUUACUUUUCCACUCACUAUUUUUCUUAUGUGCUCGAUUUGGAAUGUGUACAGUUUCUCUUAUUUGUUGGAUAGUUGGAAGGUAUUUCAUUGUAUUGUAUGUAUCUAAGCAAGAGCAAUACUUCUAGGUCCUCCAUCAUCUAACCAUAUUGAUUAUAGUUUUCUUGAAUUCAUUGGCCUAAAAGGAAAGCUAAGCAAUGAAGUUUGGUGUAGGAUGUAAAAAUGGUUGGUGGAAAUUCUGUGAUCAGUGAAGCUAAAUGUUUCUCUCAUUAGGACAUUGUUGUGUUUAACUGAAUUAAUUUUUAACUGGCUAAACUUGUUGGUUUGAUUAUAAUCUUGGUUGUAUUUUGAUGGUGUAUGGUUCUAAGAGGCAUUGUGGGAUUAGCAUGAGACAAGUGUGGUUGGGCUUUACUCUUUUAUUUGAUGGUUUGCUUCUUGGUUUGGAAAGUUCUACUAUUUAAUUUUGAUGACUUCUCUGCAUAAUUCUAUAAUAUAGGUCUGUUGUUCUUUUAAUAGUUUUCCAAAACCUUUUGAUUCAUUAUUCUUGAUCCCAAACAUAGAAUUUUUGCAUGUAAUCUCGUGUGAUCCUAGACAACAAUGUCUCUUACUAUGAUGACGGACAUCAAUGUCUCUUACGCUGAAAUUUUUGAAAUUAGUAUAAGAAUGAUCCUGAAAUUGAAAUUGUUUAAAUGCUUCACUUUUGUUUCAACAAUCUCAUGUGUUUCUCGUUCCUUGAGUUUUGAAAUUUGCAUUUAUUUGUUUGCAACACAUUGAGUCUUUAUUUGAGGUUUCUCUUUCAGUUCAUUAACUCAGCAAGUGAUGGAAUAUAGUGGGACGACUAACAUGUUUAAUCAACCAGUUAUAGAUUUUUUUCUUUUUUUCCUUUAUUGUUUAUUGAGUUGAGUGCUUUGAAAAUAUUUCUGUAACCAAUUGGGAUUGAAAGUCCAGCGUUAUGCCUGGCAUUAGAUAAUUGGACUUCUUUUAUUAGUUAUCCAAACCGUUCAUUUUUUUCAUAUUUGUUCUAUUUGGACAGGAAUUGUAUGCGAGAGAGAUAAUGAAGUUUUGGAGGUGAAUUUGUUAAUUUCAGUUACGACUAUGGAGGAAUUGUAUUUUGGAGGUGAAUUUGUGAAUUUGUAUGAGACAACUUUGUUUCUCUGAAAUUUAGAGAGCCUCUUUAAUAUUGCAUGGUAGUUUUUUUAUACGAUAUACAAGUAUAUCCAGUUUUAUUUGGAUAUUUUUUAGCAACAAUGCUUUUGGAAUAGGAUUUGUUUGAGCGCUACCAUGAGAAAGUUCAACUUGAAACGACAACAACUCAUAAUAGCCUAAUUCCUUCUAUAUGAGGUUUCACCUUUUAUUUAACUUCUAAGGACUUGAUUACCAACAUUAGGAUUGAAUUGUGAUUUGUUUUUCUACAGUGGUUUAUGAUUGUCUUCAAACAAUGUUUGGAUCUCAUCGAGCCAGUUGGUUUCUGAGUUAAGAAUUUUUCUAAUAUUUUCUAAAAUUCCUCCCCUGAAACAAGUGUUUUUAGUUUUCUUGAAUUUUUGCUCUUUACAGAUAAGACAAGCAAUGGAUGUGUGACGACAUGUAGAAACAUGGGGAUCAAUUAAAGCCUUAGUUUGUCUUAAUUGGUGACUAGUUAUUUGAAUGCAGUUUUAUAUGUGGUGACAAUGAUCUAUCAAAAUAAAAAAAUUGGUUUAGGAUUUCCUCUCUAUUUGAUAUUUUCAGAUUUGAUCACCAAAUAUAAGGAUUUUCUGUUGCCAUUUGUUUCUCUGCAGUGAUGUUUGCAUUAUGGCUUUACAAGUCUUUCAGAGGAUCAGUAGUUUCAGAGGUGAAUUGUGUGUUGCAGUGUAAAUUGUUCAAGUUUAUUUAUUUGCAAAAGGGAUCAAUUCUCCAUUCAUUUUUGCAGAAGAUUAGAUGGCUAACAUUAUUGUUCGUUCAUUUGAUCCAGUAAGAGCUCAUUCUAGAAAUGUGGACUUCUCUUUAAAAGCCUUUGGUAUUUUAACUAUCUUCAAAAGAUAUUUUUUCUGGAUCUAUUGUUUUGACAGAGCAGGUCUUCGAGGAAGACACGAGUGUUGUUGAUUUUUAGAUUUGGAAUUGUUCAAGUACCAACAACAUGAUUUCAUGAUCUCUUAUGAUUUCCCCUGAAUUCUUGGUUGUUGUUUUGCCAGGGUAGGGUCUGGGUAGAUUUGGGUUUUUGGAUUCGGAAUUGUCCAACUACCAACAAUGUGUGUACAGGUUUGAAAUAGAUGAUGUGUUUGUCAGAUAUUUUCUAGGGAUAUAUAUAUAUAUAUAUAUAUAUAUAUAUAUAUAUUUAGUUGCUAGUUUUAUUUUUCAUUCAAUUACUUAAUUGCUUUAUUACUAUGAUCAUUUGAUUAUAAAAUUAUUCUUGGUAGUUAUAUAAUUAUUCAUGGUUGUUAGAUUACCUUUAAUAGUUACUGUUGUUGGAAAUAUAAUCUAGAAGUCCUUUGUUGGCUAAUGAUUCUCUAACAUUUUUUUUAAUUUUAUGGUAGUUGUAUUUUGCUUUGACAAUUUAGUUUAGUUUUUUUUAUUAACUCUGAUUGUUUCCAGCAUCGACACAUGAAUUUUGAACUUGUUCUUGCAUAAUUUAUCAUGGGAGAAAAUGAAUUGGUGGUGUAGGUUUGGGAAACAGUGGAUCAAGACCCUAUGGAAAUUUGGGUUUUAUUCUGUGUUUAUUAUUUUCUUUGCUGCUAUUAUUCACGGAUAAACUUGUGGACUGGGAAUGCUUACCUCUUUAUGACAGGCACUGUAAAUGUCUGUGUCAGCCAUUUAAUUUUCUCUUUCUAGUCCGCACUCAGACAUUUCUUUCAGCAACCAGUCAUUUAAUCGGAAAGAGAGUUUUGUUUCCUUUCAUGUUCUUUGUUGUCAAAACAACCUUUGUUUCUUUCUUAUCAGCUAUAGUAUUUAAUUCACUGCGAUCUCAGGAUGUGUUAUUUGGAAGUGAUGUGGUUAUUCAUUCGAGGAUUGAUGUGUUAUUUGGAAGUGAGGUGGUUAUUCAUUCGAGGAUUGAGUUUCAUUCCCUUUGACUUGCAUUUUUUUGUGUUCAUAGCUAUCAAACAACUUUCUUCCUUUGAAAUGUAUGGAGUCUAUUUUUUUAAGAUGAAAUCCCCUCUAAAUGUUAAUGUUUUAUUUUUUUUCUUUCUUUUUCAUCAUUUCCUAGUUAUUUGUGUUUCUCAUAGGCUUGGUCUCAUCCCUUCGACUUGCAUUUGUUUGUGUUCAUUGCUAUUAAACAACAUUUUUUUUAAAUGUAUGGAGUCUUUUUUGUUACGUCUAGAGAUGUUGAUUUGCUUGUUUUCAUUCCGUUUUAGGUGUUGAUUUGUUUGCGUUCAUUCCUUUUUAGGUGUUGAUUUGUUUGUGUUCAUUCCUUUUUAGCAUUUGGAGGCCUCAAGAAUGGUUGAGGAUUAAAAUCUGGAAGUGUUUAGAACGACCAAUAAUUCAGGAUAACCUAAUUUCAUUAGUUUCCUUUCCAUUUGAUUUCUUGAGAUUUGAUCACGAAGAAUAAGGAUUGAAUUGUCAUUUGUUUUUAUGAUGUCUUUCUUUGUUUUGAAUGUCUUAUUGUCUCUAUACUUCAACUCUAUGAGCCGUUGUAGCCUUCCUGAAUUCUUGGGGUGUACAGUACAGGACAAACAUGCAACAGAUGUUACGUAGGACAGAUGUGAGUAUCCUUAAAGCUCUAGGUUUUGGUAUCCACACAUAUUUUUGUCUUUAAUUGGGACUGGCUAUUUGAAUUUCUCUGGUUUUUGAAUUCCUUCAAUUCAUCUUAUGCUUUCUUAACUUCUUGGUCUUUAUUACCAAUAUCUAUUUUUAUUUAAAUAUAGUUCUUAAAUUUUUUAUGUCUAGGUGUUGAUUCGUUUGUGUUCAUUUCUUUUUAGCAUGUAAGACUGGUUAAGGAUUAAAAUCUGCUAGUGUACACGAAAAACAAGCCACGGAUGUGAGGUAGGAUAUCUAAAUACUGGAAGGAGAUGCUUGAUUCUGUAGGUUAUCCAUAAUCUUUGAUGACAGAUGCUUACUUGAGUUUGGAUGUAGUUAUUUAUUUGAUGAAAGAGAUCUAUCAUAUGUAACUUUGUGUUAGUUCCUUUUCAGCAGGGGAUUCUGGUUGAGGAUUAAAAAACAUAAAUUUGAAUAUUGAUUUUGUUUGAUUAUUGAAAUAUGACAAAUCUAGCUGUUUGAUCUUUGAAUAUGUUGAUUCUUUUUAGCAAAUCAUAGGUUAGUAAUAAUAAAAUGCUCAGGGAAGAUGUCUCCCCUUUACUUGAAACAUUGUAGAUAGAGCAUAUUUUUCCAGACUGAUAUGCGAGGUAGGGUGUGGAAACACUUCCCAGGGGAUUUGUGAAGCUUUAGGUUGUUACCUGUUAGAUAUUAUUAGAUAUUAUUAGAUAUUAUUAGAUAUUAUUAGAUAUAAUUAGAUAUUAUUUGAUAUUAUGAGAUAUUAUAGAUAUUGUUAGAUAUCUCAUAUUUAUGUAAUGGGCUUAGCCCAUAUGUUUCUUUUCCUAUAUAAACAUAACCCUAUGUGUUCAAUAUACACAAGGGAUUUACCCUAUUCUUUCUUUUCCUUUAAUAUUACCCUUACCAUUCUUGUGUCUUUAUUUGUGACUGACUAAACUUCUUGUUUGGAUUCUAAGUUUUGGUUGGAUUCAUUGCUAACAUUGUAGUUUGACUGGCAGUCUGGCAGUUCUUGUGGGUUUAGAGGUCGUGUAAUACUCUCUUUUUUAAGUUGUCCAUUUCUAAGUAAUUUAGGCUUCUCUUAGCUUUUACCAGUCCUGGAUUCAUAGUGAAAUUUGACCCUUUUACAUGGUGCAAUUGAAAUUAAGGAGAGAAUUAUUGAUCUUUAGUUUUCUAGUACUGAAUUAAUUUUGGAUUUGUUUUGGUGUAGCAAAUCUGAAAGGUCAUUUUCUUAGUUAUUACUUCAUUUACUAAAUAAUCAAGAGCAUUGGACAAUUUGAUUUUGUAGUGUUUUGUUUGCUGCAUUGACAAAUGAAUCUUGCAUUCUAUUGUUUUUAGGAGUUUUAGAUUACAUCCUGAAUAUGACAUGAUGAUCUCUUCUAUCUUCCAAAAUGAGAAUGAUCUGCAACAUUAGAGUUGUAUUUAGUUCUAUGUCCAAUGUGAGAAUGAGAAAAUUAAGAGCUCUAUUUAGUUUUAUCUCCAAUUAUCUCUAAUAUGAGAAUGAGAAACAACAGUAGUUGGAAUGUUUUCUUGCAAUCUUCCUGUGCUAUGAUUUAGUUCUCUCUCCAUAUAUGAGAAUAAGAAAAUGAGAAAGAGAAACAAGAUUAUUUGGAAUGUUUUGUAGUAAUCUUCUUGCACUAUGAUUCGGUUCUCUCCCAAUAUGCGAAUGAGAAACAACAAUAUUUGGAAAGUUUUGUCGUAAUCUUCUUGUGCUAUGAUUCGGUUCUGUCCCCAAUAUGCGAAUGAGAAGAUGAGAAACAACAGCUUAUGAGAGCUCCAUUUGGUUCUAUCUCCAAUAUGAGAAUGAGAAACAACAGUACAUGAGAGUUCUAUUUAGUUUUAUCUCUAAUACGAUAAAGAAGAGAAACAAAAGCAUUUGGAUUGUUCUCUUUGUAAUCUUCGUGUGCUAUGAGCAACGCCUCCCCUCGAGGCUAUGGUUACGGGUGAUGCCUCUCUAUUCCAACAUGAGAGCUCUAUAUAUUUUUUUGGGGUGGGGUCUCAAUUUAUGAUACCAUGUGGAAGCAGACACCAUAUUUUUGCCGUCUAUAUUUCUCAGCUCUUGCUGAUUUUGCCAUGCUGAACUUAGUUUUCUUGAAUUGCCAUUCUUCUUAAAUUUUUACAGUAAAGCAAUAGAUAUGUGGGGGCAGGUUUUGGAAACAUUGUAUGGAGAUCUGGUGAAACUUUAGAUUUUAUUAUCUUUGCAUAUUCAUCAUUUUCUUUGAUGGCUAAACUUGUGGAUUGGGAGUUCUUGUAAACAGGCACUAUGUGAGUUUGAGAGGCUUUGGCAAUUGUGUUGUUAGGCCUUCGAUCCUGGUGAUUUGAUAAUCUGUUGCAGUGAAGACUUUAUGGAUGUCUGUUACCCAAAUUACGGUACAUUAUUGGACUUACAUUUCCAUUUCACUAUUUUUUUUAUAUCCUUGAUUUGGUUGUGGUAUCUCUUAUUGGUUGAAUAGUGGGAAGGCACAUGUGAAUCUUAUGAUGUAUUGCCUUUAAUAGUUUUUGCUGUUGGAAAAAUAAUCUAGAAGUCCUUUCUUAGCAAAUUAUUCUCAUUAUUGUAGAAAUUCUAUAACAUUUAUUCAGGUUUUACUUUCUACAAUUAGUUUAUUUUUAUCCACUCCGAUAACUAAUUAAAUAUUUACUUUCUCUAGAAAGUAGACUAUGUGAUUGAUAUAUUUUAAUGUUAUUCAUAAAUUAGUUCUUUAUAUUAAUCAUUACAAAAAUGUUUGGUAUACACUCAUAUUUAUCAUAUUGCCUUCAAGUAGAAAGGUAUUUGUAUAGGGCAAUUGCUUCCUCCCCCAAUCAAUUUUGACUAGCAUUCAAUAGAAGUUUUAAAACUUCAUUAUGCCUUUUUCACGGCUUACGAAUGCCAAUAUCCAAAAGUGACAUAUUUGCCUAUGGAUAUUGCCAUUUGGAAGUGAUAGUUUUGCCUACGGAUAUUAACAUUCGAAAGUGUCAGUUUUGCCUACGGAUAUUGACAUUUGGAAGUGUCAGUUUUGCCUACGGACAUUGGCAUCUGGAACUGGCACUCUUUGAUUGCGUUCAUUUUUAUCCGAAAGGCACUAUCAUUUUUCUUAAUAUACAUAUCAGGAAGCCAAUCAUCCUUAACUUUUUUUUUUGGCAGUGUAAUGAUUUUGUUACUUUUAAUGGAUUAAAACCACUAAACCGAACCAAUUUAAAGAAUAAAAGUAAAAUCAACAUUAAAAUUUGUUACUUGCUUUUUAUUAUAAAAUAUUUAUAUUAUCAUUUAUAUAUUUUCAAAUGCAUUAACCAUUGAUGACAUAUAGAACAUUGUUGAGAGUAGAAAAAAAGCACCCAAUAAACACAUUUUGGAUUUUCAAAAUGGGACCUGAUGAAAAAGACUUUCGUGGUGCAUAUGGAUGUUUAUAUUCAUAACUCAUAACACAAUUACGGACAAAAAUAUUCAGAACCCGUGAGAAGCGUGAAGCGACACGUCUCCUUUUCUGGUGUCUUUGCUUUCUGUCGUUGUUGAAGUGGCUCAAAAGCGUUGCUUGCGUGUGUGUAAGACUUUCGGAAGAGAAUGUCUACAAGAAACAAUGAAUGACCUUCUGCACUGUGCUUGAUUGUGGGGUGUAUGGAACCUAAUUUCACUCAUUAAGGGUGUCAUGGUAAUUUCAUAUAGAUCAUUAAGGGUGUUAUGGUAAUUUCAAACAGAAAAUUGGGUGUUAGUUAGAAUUGAUUGGGUGCAGGAGAGUCAGCUUUGUGUAGCAAUAAAAAGUCACAAAGAAAUCUAUUCAACUCUAAAAGGUUGUGAUAUUUAACACCACAAAGAGUAAAAAACAUUCACAAAUUAAUAAAAUAAUAUUUUAAUCAUAUUUAAUUUAUUUUUAUUUUUAAAUAUUAUUAUAUUAUUAUAAUGAGAUGUUAAGUAUACGUUUUUACAUGGUGUCAAAAAAUUAUUUUCCUAUUCUAAAAGAACUUAGACAAAUGUCUUAUUAUAAUAAAACUAAUAAUGUGGAAAAUAUUUUAAAAAACACUAAUAAAAGAAAUAAGUUUAUUUUUCAAAUUGAAGUCAAAUUAAGAUUAAAACAAUCUUAAAAUUUAAUUAUAUUGACUAAAAAGUUAAUAAAAACAAAACAAUAUUUACAAGAUAUUUUUAAAUAUCUUUAAAAUAAUAACUGCAAAUUUGUUUCCCCUGUUUUGUGUCAGCGGUUUGUUAUAAGAUAAGGAUGAAAAUCUUAAUUGCAUAUUUUCACCUCACCGCGUAAUAUAAGCUGUCAAUCUUGACCCUCCCUUUCUAUAUAUACCCGAAGAUCUUAUUGAGUUUAUCAUAUUGAGUUUUGUUGGUAUUGGUUCCGUGAUUGAGUUUUGUUAGUACUGAUUGGGGGUGAUUGUUGUGCUUCUUAUUAUCAAGUCUCCGUGGUUUCGUCGAAUUAUAUCAUGUUUGCUAUCAUCGAUGUGGUUUUGAUGUGGUUUUGUCGGAUUGAAGAAUGCAAGAAUCUUUUAUAGGAUUGAAGAACGCCAAUUCUGAAUAUGAUUCUUUAUGUGAUGAUGACAAGUUUUGAAUCUUUUGAUCAAAUUCCUUUAUCCCUUUUCUGCUGGUGACGGGGUCUUUGAGUAUUUUCUUCUACUUUCCUUUCUAUUAUUUGAUUUAUCUGGUAUUGAUCACGAAAAUAAGGAUUGGACUAUGAUUUGUUUAUCUGCAGUGGUGUAACACGUUUCUUAGUUAGUUUUCUUGAUUUUUGGGCUGUACAGGGAAGACACGCAAUGGAUGUGAAAUGAAGUAUUAUGUUUUCUUGACUUCUUAUGGGUUUAUUCGUGACUGAUUAUUGGAUUUCGUAGCCUAACUUGGUGUUUAUGUUCACUCCCCUUCAGCAAUUCGAGUUUCUGAGAUUUGAAACCCUAAAAAGUUUGAAACGGUUGCAGCUCAGGACAUCCCAAUUCUCUCUAUCUAUUGUUUAAUUUCUCUCUACUUUAUCUCCAAGGAUUGAAUUGUGUUCGACGUUUGAAUUAUUUUCCCUUAAUGUUAUGAGGCCCCAAGGGUUGAAUUGGUGUUUGAAUUAUUUUUUUCGCUUAAUGUCCUGCAGAGUAUGUUAUGAGACAUAAGGGCUGAAUUGUGAUUUGUUUCCUGUUUGGAUGAUUUGCAUAGCAUCUUAUAGAAUAUGAAUGGUUUGGUUUUCGCACGGUUCUCGCGAGUAUGUUAUAGCCACCAUUCUUCCUUGGUUUUUAAGUCUUCAAUUUAUCUUAUCGUUCUAUACUUCAUCCUCGAUUACCAGUUAUACUUUGUUGAAUUAUUGUUCUUUACAGGGAUGAGUGGGGAUAAGACAGGGAUGUGUGGGUAGGACGUUCCUCGUGGUUGGUUGAAAAUGGUGGAUGAGCCAUGCUCGACGGUAUGAAAAACACAACGACAAUGGGCUCGACAUAACCGAAGUCUUUUUUGAGUUUUCCUUCUAUUUUUCUUCAACAUAAGGAUAUGAUUUGUUUAUCUGCAGUGGUGUUUUGAACCUUUUGCGUAAAUUUCUUUGCUCCUUUUCAGUUGGUGGCCGAUUCUCUGGCGUUUCUUUAGCUUUUGGAUGAUUUGAAAACUAGAACGACCAAGAGCUAGGCAUAACCUAAGUCUUUGUUGAGUUUCCCUUCUUUAACUUUUUUUUCUGCUAUUGAUCACAGUACAUAAGGAUUGAACUAUGAUUUGUUUAUCUGCAGUGGUGUUUGGAUUAGUUGGGUAACGACACAUACUCAUCUUAUCAUGUUCCUAUAACUAGUAAAUUCAUUUACUGAAUUUUGAGUAUAAUUGUCUAUUUGAGUAUGACGAGUUUUAUACCUUUUGCGUAAAUUUCUUUUCAGCUGGUGGCUGGUUUUUUGGUAUUUCUUUUGCCUAUGGAUGAUAUGGAAAGCACAACGACCAAGGGCUCGACAUAACCUUAAGUCUUUUUUUAGUUUCCCUUCUAUUUUUGUUAUGGUAUUGCAUAAGGAUUGAACUAUGAUUUGUUUAUCUGCAGUGGUGUUUGGAUUAGUUGGGUAACGUCACAUAUUAAUCUUAUCAAGUUUCUAUAAUUAGUAAAUUCAUUUAUGUCUAUAUGAGAAUGACGAGUUUUGAACCUUCUGCGUAAAUUUCUUUGCACCUUUUCAGCUGGAGUUCUCUGUCAUUUCUUUCUCCUAUGGAUGAUAUGAAAAGCAGAAGGACCAAGGGGCUCGACAUAACCUAAGUCUUUUUUGACUUUUUUUUUCUAUUUUUCUUUUUCCUGGUAUUGAUGACAGUACAUAAGGAUUGAACUAUAAUUUGGUUAUCUGCAGUGGUGUUAGGAUUAGUUGGAUAACGACGCAUAUUCAUCUUACAAGUUGCUAUAACUAGUAAAUUCAUUUAUGUGAAUUUUGAGUAUAAUUCUCUAUUUGAGUUUGACAAGUUUUAAACCUUUUGCGUAAAUUUAGUUUCAGCUGGUGGCUGGUUUUUUUGCCUUUCUGUUGCCUAUGGAUGAUAUGAAAAGCACAAUGACCAACGGGCUCGUCAUAACCUAAGUCUUUUUUGAGUUUUCCUUCUUUUUUUCUUUUUCCUGGUAUUGUUCACAGUACAUAAGGAUUAAACUAUGGUUUUGUUUAUCUGCAGUGGUAUUUGGAUUAGAUGGGUAACAACGCAUAUUCAUCGUAUCAAGUUUCUAUAACUAGUAAAUUCAUUUACGUCAAUUUUGACUAUAGUUCUCUAUUUGAGUUGACACUAUAGUUCUUUAUUUGAGUAUGACGAGGAAAAUUACUUAAAUUUCUUUUCAGCUGAUCAAGGGCUCAACAUAACCUUAAAUCUUUUUUGACUUUCCCUUUUAUUAUUUUUUUUAGGUAUUACAUAAGGAUUGAACUAUGAUUUGUUUAUCUGCAGUGGUGUUAUGAUUAGUUGGGUAACUUCACAGAUUCAUCUUAUCAAGUUUCUAUAAUUCAUUUAGGUGAAUUCUGAGUAUAAUUCACUAUUUGAGGAUGAUGAGUUUUGAACAUUUUGUGUAAAUUUCUUUGCAUAUUUUCAGUUAUUGGCUGGUUCUCUGGCAUUUCUUUUGCCUAUGAAUGAUAUGAGAAGCACAACGACCAAGGGGCUCAACAUAACCUAAGUCUUUUUUGAGUUUUCCUUAUAUUUUUCUUUUUACUAGUAAUAAUAACAGUACAUAAAGAUUGAACUAUGAUUUGUUUAUCUGCAGUGGUGUUUGGACUAGUUGGGUAACGACGCAGAUUCAUUUUAUCAAGUUUCUAUAACUAGUAAAUUCAUUUACGUGAAUUUUGAGUAAAAUUCUCUAUUUGAGUAUGACGAGGUUUAAACCUUAUGCGUAAAUUUCUUUUCAGCUGGUGGCUGGUUUUUUGGCAUUUCUUUUGCCUAUGGAUGAUAUGCAAAGCACAACGACCAAGGGCUCGAUAUAACCUUAAGUCUUUUUUGAGUUUCCCUUAUAUUAUUCGUUAAUGGUUUUACAUAAGGAUUGAACUAUGAUUUGUUUAUCUGCAGUGGUGUUUUGGAUUAGUUGGGUAACGUCGCAUAUUCCUCUUAUCAAGUUUCUAUAGUUAGUAAAUUCAUUUAUGUCUAUAUGAGGAUGACAAGUUUUGAACCUUCUGCGUAAAUUUCUUUGCACCUUUUCAGCUGGCGUUCUCUAGCAUUUCUUUCUCCUAUGGAUGAUAUGAAAAGCAGAAGGACCAAGGGGCUCAACAUAACCUAAGUCUUUUUUGAGUUUUUUUUUCUAUUUUUCUUUUUCCUGGUAUUGAUGACAGAACAUAAGGAUUGAACUAUGAUUUGUUUAUCUGCAGUGGUGUUUGGAUUAGUUGGAUAACGACGCAUAUUCAUCUUACAAGUUUCUAUAACUAGUAAAUUCAUUUACGUGAAUUUUGAGUAUAAUUCUCCAUUUGAGUGUGACGAGUUUUAAACCCUUUUUGUAAAUUUACUUUCAGCUGGUGCCUGGUUUUUUGGCCUUUCUGUUGCCUAUGGAUGAUAUGAAAAGCACAACAACCAAGGGCUCGACAAAACCUUAAGUCUUUUUUGAGUUUCCUUCUAUUUUUUUAUGGUACUACAUAAGAAUUGAACUAUAAUUUGUUUAUCUGCAGUGGUGUUUGGAUUUGUAUAACGUCACAUAUUCAUCUUAUCAAGUUUCUAUAAUUAGUAAAUUCAUUUAGGUCUAUAUGAGGAUGACGAGUUUUGAACCUUUUGCGUUAAUUUCUUUGCACCUUUUCAGCUGGAGUUGAGUUGUGAACUUGUUUGGAAGUUUUGCAUGUAAUCUCCUUUGAGCCUAGACUGCAAUGUCUCUUAUGCUGAAAUCUUUGAAAUCAGAAUAAUGAACCGGAGUGACAACAAUGCUCUAACGCUGAAAUUUUUGAAAUCAGUAUAAUAAUGAUCCUGAAAUUGUUUAAAUGCUUCACUUUUGUUUCAACAAUCUCCAUUUAUGUUUCUCAUUCUUCGAGUUUUGAAAUCAGCAUUUAUUUGUUUGCAGCACAUUUUGUCUUUAUUUGAGGUUUCUCUUUCAGAUUGUUAACUCAACCAGUGAUGGAAUAUAGUGGGACGGCUAACAUGUCUUAUCAACAAGUUUGAGUGUUUAUCCAAAACCAUUCCAUUCAUUUCUUUUUCAUAUUUGUACAAUUUGGAAAAGGAUUGUAUCCGAGAAAGAUAAUGGAGUUUUGGAGGUGAAUUUGUUAAUUUUAAUCAGAUUGACGAACGUCUCUUGGACAGGAUUUCGUCUCUAUUUGAUAUUUUCAGAUUUGAUCACCAAACAUAUGGAUUUUCUGUUGUCAUUUGUUUUUGUGCAGUGAUAUUUGCAUAAUGUUUCAUGCUACGUCUAAUCAAUCAUGUUGUUUGGAAGUUUGUAUGACUCUUGAUAACAGGCUUUACAAGAGUUUGGGAGGAUUAGUAAUUUCAGAGGUGAUACCUAUUAUCAUAUUUGUGUCUUGUAGUGUGAACUGUUCAAGUUUAUUCAUUUGCAAGAGGGAUCAAUUCUCCACUUUUGAUGCAGAAGAUUAGAUGGCUAACAUUAUUGUCCGUUCAUUUGAUCCAGCAAGAGCCCAUUCUAGAAAUGUGGUCUUCUCUUUAAAGGCCUUUAGUAUUUUACUAUCAUAAAUAGAUAUUAUUUCUGGUUCUAUUGUUUUGACUGAGAGGAAGUCACAAGUCUUGUUGAUAUAUGAUGAUCUCUUAUCAUUUCCCCUUAAUUCUUGGUUGUUGUUUUGACAGGGUAGGGUUUGGGGAGUCUGGGUUUUUGGAUUAGGAAUUGUCCAACCACCAACAAUGUGUGUACAAGUUUGAAAUAUAUGAAUGAAGGCUGUCAAGGAAAAUGAUUACAGCAAUGAAGGCUAAAAAAAAAAUUGCGGAAGCAGAGUCUCCUAGAUCAGGAUAUAUAUAUGCUAGAGUGGAAAGAAAUAGAUGAAAUAUAUUUCUGAGAUAUCUUACAAAUGUGAUUACAGUCUCUAUUUAUAGACUGUUUUACAACCUAAUUAAAGAAAGAAAUAAUAGGUGAUGAAAGCCAGAAAUAAAUAAUGAGUGUUUAAAGCUGUACAAAUCAAAUAAAAUAAAAUCACUAACAAAUCUGUACUAAUAAAUAUAAAAUGGAAUCUGCACUUAAUUAUAACAUAAUUCUCCUGAUUAUGCAACAGUUAGUUUGAAUUUUAUUGAAUUACAUAAAUGCUUUAUUAAUAUGAUCAUUUGAUUAUAGCAGAAUUGUAGUGGUUUUUAUAAAAUUAUUCUUAGUAGUUAUAUAAUUAUUCAUGGUUGUUAUAUUACCUUUAAUAGUUAUUGUUGUUGGAAAAAUAAUCUAGAAGUCCUUUGUUGGCUAAUGAUUCUCUAACAUUUUUUUAAAAAUUUUAUAGUAGUUGUAUUUUGAUUUGACAAUUUAGUUUAGUUUCUUUUAUUGACUCUUAUAGCUAAUUAAUAUUGACUUUCAUUAGAAUGUUGAUGAUGAUGUGAAUGAUGUGUUUUAAUGUUGAUUGUGUUGUGAUUCUAUUUUAUAAAAUAUUGUUUUAUGGUAAUCAUUAAUCAAUUGCUUUGUAUACACUCAUUUAUCAUAUUGCUGUAUGACAAAUCUUAAAGCCCUCUAAGAGAAAGGUUCCUGGGUUGCUUUGUGGAAAGUUUUAAACUCGCUCGCAAUGGUAAAGGAUGGAUCAAUGUGCUUUUAUGCAAGAAUUAUUAGUAAAUUCAUUUACGUGAAUUCUUAGUAUAAUUCUCUAGUUGAUUAUGACGAGUUUUUAACCUUUUCAGCUUAUGGCUGGUUCCCUAACAUUUCUUUUGCCUAUGGAUGAUAUGAAAAGCCCAACAAUCAAGGGCUCAACAUAAAGAAAGUCUUUUUUGAGUUUCCCUUCUAUUAUUCUUUUUGCUGGUAUUGAUAACAUAAGGAUUGAACUAUGAUGUGUUUAUCUGCAAUGGUGUUUGGAUUAGUUGGGUAACAUCGCAUAGUCAUCUUAUCAAAUUUCUAUACUUUGUCUUAAUAAGAGUGUUUAUUGUUUCCUUCAAUUUUUGGACUAUCGUUUCCUUCAAUUAAAUUUGGUGUUUGUGUUCAUUCCUUUUCAGCAAGUCCUGAGUCUUUGAGAUUUCUUUUGGUGGUUGAGGAACUACAGAAUGGUUGUAGAUCAGGAUAUCCUAAUUUCUCUAUACUUGAUCACCGAACAUUGAAUAGUGAUUUGUUCUUAUGCAGUAAACAUAAGGAUUUAAUUUUGAUUAUUUUCGUAUAAUGUCCUUUAUCUCAUGGAGUAUGUUAUGUGGCAUAAUAGUUUAAUUGUAAUUUGCUUCUUUGCAGCGUGAAAUUGGCUUACCGUAUUGCAUCUUAUGGGGUAUGUUAUGAGUGACCGUGUCUCCCUUAAUUUUUUAAUUUAUCUAAUAGUCCUUUAUUACCUGUUAUAGUUUUGUUGAAUUAUUGUUCUUUAUAGGGAUGUGUGGUAAUUAGCAAGAGCUCAGGACUAUUUGGUUUCAAUUUUUUUAUAACAAAACUUUAUUUUGCCUUUAUUAGUUUCCUUCAUUGACAAAUGAAUUUUGAACUUGGUUCUUGCAAAGCAUCAAUGUCCUUGCCUAAUUUGUGUUUCAAGAUUAUUGAUCUUUCGUAUUGAAGUUCUGAAAAUUUAGGUGGAGCAGUAUUGAAAAGAUGGAUCUUGAAGUUAUUCCUUUCAUUUUAGUAGUGUAAUUAGCAAGAGCUCAGGAUUAUUUGCCUCCAUUCUUUGAUUACAGAACUUUUUAUUUUGUUUGUUCCUGCAUCGACAAAUGAAUUUUGAACUUGUUCUUGCAUAAUUUAUCAUUGGGAGGAAAUGAAUUGGUGGUUUAGGUUUGGGAAACAGUGGAUCGGGACCCUGUGGAAAUUUAGGUUUUGUUCUAUGUUUAUUAUUUCUUUGCUGUUAUUAUUCACGGAUAAACUUGUGGACUGGGAAUGUUUACCUCUAUAUGACAGGCACUGUAAACGUCUGUGUCAGCUAUUUAAUUUUCUCUUUCUUGUCCACACUCAGACAUUUCUUUCAGCAACUGAGUCAUUUAAAAGAGAGUUUCGUUUCUUUUCAUGUUCUUUAUUGUCAAAAUAACCUUUCUUUCUUUCUUAUCAGCUAUAGUAUUUAGUUUCACUGUGAUCUCGGGAUGUGUUAUUUGGAAGUGAUGUGGUUAUUCAUCCAAGGAUUAAUGUGUUAUUUGGAAGUGAUGUGGUUAUUCAUUCAAGGAUUGAGUUCCAUUCUCUUCGACUUGCUUUUGUUUGUUGUGUUCAUUGCUAUCAAACAACUUUCUUCCUUUUAAAUGUAUGGAGUCUAUUUUUUUAAGAUGAAAUCCCCACUAAAUGUAAUGUUUUUUUUUUCUUUCUUUUUCAUCAUUGCCUAGUUAUUUCUGUUUCUCAUAGGCUUGGUCUCAUCCCUUCAACUUGCAUUUGUUUGUGUUCAUUGCUAUCAAACAGCUUUCUUCUUUUUAAAUGUAUGGAGCCUUUUUUGCUACGUCUAGAUGUUGAUUUUCUUGUGUUCAUUCAUUUUUAGGUGUUGAUUUGUUCGUGUUAAUUCCUUUUUAGCAUCUCGAGACUGCCGGAAUGGUUGAGGAUUAAAAUCUGAAAUUGUUUAGAACCACCAAUAAUUCAGGAUAACCUUCAACUUUGUUUUAGGUGUCAUUUGUUUUAUGUCUCUCUUUGUUUUAAAUGUCUUAUUGUCUCUAUACUUCAACUUUAUGAGCCGUUUGUAGCCUUCCUGAAUUCUUGGGGUGUACAGGACAAACAUGCAACAGAUGUGAGGUAGGAAAGAUGUGAGUAUCCUUGAAGCUUGAAUACUGGCAGGAGAUCCUUGAAGCUUUAGGUUUUGGUAUCCACACAUAUUUUUGUCUUUAAUUGGGACUGGCUAUUUGAAUUUCUCUGGUUUUUGAAUUCCUUCAAUUCAUUAAUUCAUUUUGUCCUUUCUUAAAUUCUGGGUCUUUAUUACCAAUAUCUAUUUGAAUUUAAAUAUAGUUCUUAAAUUUUUUAUGUAUAGGUGUUGAUUCGUUUGUGUUCAUUCCUUUUUAGCAUGUAAGACUGGUUGAGGAUUAAAAUCUGCAACUGUACACGAAAAAACAAGCAACGGAUGUGAGCUAGGAUAUCUGAAUACUGGAAGGACAUGCUUGAUUCUAUAGGUUAUCCAUACUCUUUGAUGACAGAUGUCUACUUGAGUUUGGAUGUAGUUAUUUAUUUGAUGACUGAGAUCUAUCAUAUGUAACUGUUUAUCUGCUUGUGUUAGUUCCUUUUCAGCAGGGGAUUCUGGUUUAGGAUAAAAAAACAUAAAUUUGAAUAUUGUUCUUGUCCGAUUAUCAAAAUAUGUAAAACCUAGCUAUUUGAUGUUGAUUCUUUUUUAGCACAUUAAAGGUUAAUAAUAAUACAAUACUCAGGGAAGAUGUCUCCUCUUUAUUUGAAACUUUGUAGAUUGAGCAUAUUUUUCGAGACUGAUAUAUGAGGUAGGAUGUGGAAACACUGGGAUUUGUGAAGCUUUAGGUUUUGUUAUCCUUACAUUUCUUAUGUUUUUAUUUGUGACUAACUAAACUUCUUGUUUGGAUGCUAAGUUUUGGUUGGAUUCAUUGCAGACCUUGUAGUGUGUCUGACAGUUCUUAUUGGUGUAUAUGUAGCAAUCACUAGCAGACUAUUAGAGGUCCUGUAAUUUGGGGAGGAUUUGUCUGACAGAAUUUCUAACAACUUAAUAUGAAGUACUGAAUUAAUAGUGAAAAAAAAGAUAAAGAAAAAAUAUCAUGGCCAUUAAAAGUUUAUGUUUCUUGUCCUGUUCAGCCAUGGCACUUGUCAGUGAGCUCUUGCUUCUUUCUCUAUUGCCCCAUAUGCAUACUUUUUCGCAUUUCUUACUCUUUUUUUAAGUUGUUCAUUUUUAAGUAAUUUAGGCUUCUCAUACUGGUUUCAUAGUGAAAUUUGAGCCUUUUACAUGGUGCCAUUGAAAUUAAGGAGGGAAUUAAUGAUCUUUAGUUUUAUAGUACUGAAUUAAUUUGGAUUUGCUUAGGUGUAGCAAAUUUGAAAGGUCAUUUUCUUAGUUAUUACUUCAUUUACUAAAUUAUCAAGAGCAUUGAACAAUUUGAUUUUGUAGUGUUUUGUUUGCUGCCUUGACAAAUGAAUCUUGCAUUCUAUUGUUUUUAGUAAUUUUGGGUUACAUUCUGAAUAUGACAUAUGAUGAUCUCUUAUAUCUUCCAAAAUGAGAAUGAUCUCCAACAUUAGAGCUGUAUUUAGUUCUAUCUCCAAUGUGAGAAUGAGAAAAUUGAGAGCUGUAUUUAGUUUUAUCUCCAAUUAUCUCUAAUAUUAGAAUGAGAAACAACAGUAGUUGAAAUGUUUUCUUGUAAUCUAUCUUCGUGUGCUAUGAUUCAGUUCUCUCUCCAUAUAUGAGAAUAAAAAAUGAGAAAGAGAAACAACAUUAUUUGGAAUGUUUUGUCGUAAUCUUCUUGCACUAUGAUUUUGUUCUCUCCCAAUAUGCGAAUGAGAAAAUGAAAAACAACAGUAUUUAGAAAGUUUUGUCGUAAUCUUGCGCUAUGAUUUGGUUCUCUCCUCAAUAUGCAAUGAGAAGAUGAGAAACAACAUUCCUUAACUUGUAAUUGAUUUUAUAUUAAUUGUUUAACUAUUCACUUCAUGUUUUUCUAAUUUGAAGAUAUCUCUUUACUAAAAACAAUGUAAUUAAUUUUAUAUUAAUUGUUUAGCUAUUCA